GCCCUCAGGAAACAUCUUCCACCCCACCUUUCCACUUGCUCCUCAUUUGAGCUCAUAACAGCCUGCAUCUGGAAGUGUCGAACGCUUUCACUGAGACUGAAUCCAAAAGACACUGUUCGCCUUUCCUGCAUCAUCAACGCCCGCGGGAAGCGCAUGGAUGACCUAUGUCUCCCCUUGGGAUUCUACGGCAAUGCAUUGGGUGUCCCGACUAUCGUUUCAACGGUAGAACUUGUGUGUGCAAGUCCACUGGGAUAUGGUGUGGAGUUGGUGAGGAAGAACAAAGCUCAGAUGGGUAAAGAAUACAUGCAAUCACUGGCCCAUUUUUUGGUGAUCAGAGGACGGCCUCCGCCUCCAAUGGCUUGGAAUGUGUUUAUAGUUUCUGAUAAUAGACACACUGGUUUGGGAGAGUUUGAUGUUGGGUGGGGAAGACCAGUAUAUGCUGGACUUGCGAGGGCAGUCCAUGUGAUCAGCUUCUAUGUCCGAGAAAACAACCAAGAAGAGGAAUUUAGAAUUUUGGUGCCCAUAUGCUUGCCAAGAAUGUGUUUGGAGAGGUUUGAGCAGGAGCUCAAGAGGAUGAUAUUGGAGCACGUCGAUGAUGUAUCUAAAUAAGACGCAAGGAUUAUGUGUGUGUGAUUAAGUCUAGUUGUCUUGUGUUGUGUGGGCUAUCAUUUCUAUGGUAGAGUGGGUUUGUUUUCCUCUAUAUGCCUCUUUGCAUUUGGAGUCAGUUUUUUGUUUUUUUGUUUUUUUUGUUUUAAGAAAAUUUCGCAUCAGUCCAAUUCUAAUAAAAGACCAGCAUCCUUUGUAACCUGUUGGCUUGGAAUUACAUUCAAAGCUCAACAGGUCUUGGGUUCGACUGGUAUCGGAUCGAUGUCAAAAUAAGAGAUGUUGGGUGCAACCCACGCAUAAGUUGUUGAUCUAAGUCCUUUGACCACAUGCCUUUUUUUAUUUAUGGAUAUUCAAAUUUAAUUUUUUUUAAUUUUUUAAAAAUCAUUUUGUUGUUCCAAUUAUGCAUUAAGAAGGUAAAUUAUGAAUUUGUAGAACUGGUAAGUUAUUGAUUUGUAGGACAUUAAUUAUUAGAUUUGAUUUAAAUUUUAUUGGAUAUGAGAUUUAGAACAUAUCCUUUGAAUAGAAAUGUAAUAUACACCAGACACAUCCCUUAAAUCACAUCUCCGCUUACAAAUAACACAACACUAUGCCAAAAAUCAUAAAGAUGUCUCUUUCCCAAGUAUACCAACCUAAUUUUUUUAAUCGGAGUUCAUGGAAACUUCAUACCUUAACAAUAGGUAAGGUACCUAUGCAUACACCUCUUGUGCAGGUAACUAAACCCAUAAACCAACUUUAGUCUAGGUCUAGUGUAGGUAAUUAAACCGAAAAGCCAGCUCUUGUCCAAAUAAUUAUACGCGUAAACUGCCUUUAGUCUAGGCAAUUAAACUAAUAUAAUACCUUUGGUAUGCAUCUUUAAACUCAUACUUAAAGUAAAAAGUACCUAUCUAAAAGGUUACAGAAAAAGGGAAAAGAAACUCACAUCUCCACAACAAGUAUACUCACACCUAAGUAUAUUGAAACUCCAUAAAAAUUGCUUUGGAAAACCCAAGAAAAAAAAAAACCUGGAAGACAUCUAUGCGUGUGUAUUAUAUAUAGAGAGAGAGAGAGAGAUUCAAUUAAAAUCACUUGAAUCCUAUAUGAUUUGACCAUUCAAUUAAAUUAUUGAAAUUUGAGGAUUUCUUGAAGCAUCGUGUUCAUUGAUUUUGUUGGUCUCAAUCAGAUGCCUUAAUGAUUUUCAAAUUAUCUGAAUUUUUGCAAGAAUGAUCUAUGAAUUUUUUUUUCUUGCAUUGUAGGUUUUUCAUGGAGUAAUCUUGUUCGUUUAUGUCAGUCUUGAAGUUGGAUCAUCUGCUGUACUUUGGAUUUAACAUCUUUGGUGGUGUUCGUUUUGCAGUCAUGGAACUUCACAUUCAAGUGAUCAUGUUUGUAGUACUCCAACUUCUCAUUCAAUAACAUCAGAGCGUUCUAGUAUUCUCUUGAAAUGUAUUUUGAAAUGUAUAGGAUAGCAGGUGGGGUUAAAUUUGAAGAGUACUAAGAGCAUCUCCAACAGAGUUGCUAUACUCUGAUUCUUAACCAUUUUGGCUAGAAUGAGGGAAAAACGCAACUUCAGUAGAUUUGCUAUUAAGCUCUCUAUUGUGGACAACUCUCUAUUUGAGUUUGGUGGCUCUCUACAUAUAGAGAGGAGGAGAGAGAAAUUGAGGGUCCAUAGAAGUAAUUUUACAAAGGCAUUAAUUUGUAUUUAAAAUUUUAAAAAUAAAAUGAGUAGGAAAAUAGGAUAGGAAAUGGAAAUAAUAGCACUUAAUGAAAAAGGAAUGAAGAACGUGAAUCAUUCAAAAUGCAUGAGAAAUUGAAGAAUAAUUUGAAUCACUAAUCGAAACCACAUUCACACGCGGUGGCAUCCGUAAGACCAAUAAUUUUAUGGUGUCUGUUGGUCCCAAAUAAGACCAAUAAUUGUAGCAUGUCUGUUUCUAGAGGUGGCAUCCUUAAAAUGGACCACAUGUGGGUCUGCCUUCUUGAAAAGAUUGUACAAAUUAAUUAGUGAUGAGAAAAAUCGGGUGAAAUGUAUACUUUUCUCUUCAGCAAUGUGACACAAUUAAAUGUUGAAGGAUUACAGAAUUAAAAAAAUUCAUUUAACAAACAAAUUGAAAACUGAGGAAGAAAUAGGGGACUAUAGAUAUAAUCUUGUAAUAAUGGAAUUCAUUGUCUUUGAAAAUGGUGAAUCUCCAUAUUCAUGCAGGUUUUAGCUUCAAGAAGUUAGAAUAUAUGUAUUCACAGGCCUGAGUGGCUUUGGCUCUUCUUCCUUUCUCAAAUACAAAGAUGAAAAUGGGGUAUUGGUACCAAUAUGCUUGCCAUUAUCGGACAUGGAGAGAUUUCAGCAGGAGCUCGAGAGGAUGACUCUGGAGCCUCUGAAGGAUAUUUAUGACAAUAAAUCAGCUAGGAUCACGUCAAGGAUGUAAAAAAUUCAUCAAAUGUCAGAUCGCUUAGUGUAUGGUGUCAAUGAAUUUUGGAAUGUAACAUAAGAACUAGAUGCAAGGUUUGUGUCAACAUAAAAAUAAAUUGCAAUCUAAUUGGCAAUGUGCUGUAAUUCGGGGAAAAAUAAAACAUAAUUUGGUGUUUGUGAACCAUAAUUGAAAUCCACGCGUACAAAUGAGUUCAUAUUAUAUGGGUAGACACUUACCUUCCUCAAACUAAACAUAGAAGGAUUGAAUAAUUGUGAAUGAUAUUAUACUUCUCUAAGAGGAGGAUAUAUAUACAAGUACAAGUUGACUUUUCUUACAAGGAAAAGUAAUUAGCUAAUUACAAGGAAUCCUAACUAGGUAACUAUUCGAAUUAUACAGGUAACAUGAAUUACUCCAAGAAAUCAGGGAUCACGGAAUUCCUGAAUUAUGGCUCACGCCAAUAUUACCCCUCAAGUUGGUGCAUGGAUAUCUCCUAUGCCCAACUUGUCAAGUGAUUUAUGAAAAACCUUUGCUAACACCACGUGCGUAAAGACAUCUGCCAUCUACUCUUCUGACAUUACAAUGGUAUAUUGAUUAGCUUAUCUACCAGUUUCUCCUUGAUAUAAUGCCUAUCGACUUCAACAUGCUUAGUUCUAUCAUGUUGAACUGGAUUAUUUGCUAUCUCUCUCGCAGCUUGGUUGUCACAGUAAAGCUCAAUGACUUUCUUUGGUGGAAAACAAAUUUUGGACAUGAGUAUCCUUAGCCAAUAAAGCUCGAAAACUCCAUGUCCUAUGCCCCUGUAUUUUGCCUCAGUUGAAGAUCGAGCCACUACAUUCUGCUUUUUACUUCGCCAUGUAACCAUAUUACCCCCAAUGAAAGUGAAGUAACCUGAUGUAGAACGUUUAUCUGUUAUAUUACUUGCCCAAUCUGCAUUUGUAUAACCCUUGACAUCCAAAUGUCCUAGUUUUCUGAAUAUCAAACCUCGGCCUGGUGCUUUCUUCAAAUAACUGAAAAUCCUCAUAAUUGCUGCUAAGUGAUCCUCACUAGCAGAAUGCAUGAACUGGCUAGCAACACUAACUGCAUAUGUGAUAUCUGAUAUAGUGUGUGAAAGAUAAAUUAGUCUUCCCACUAACCUCUGGUAUCUCUCCUUGUUGGUUGGCACUUUGAUCAUGAUAGAUUGCUAGUUGAUGAUUCCGCACAAUAGGGGUUUCGGCUGAUGCACAUCCUAACAUACCAGUUUCUGUUAAUAGGUUUAGAACAUACUUCCUUUGAAAGAGACAAAUACUAGUAGUAGAGCGAGUUACUUCGAUUCCCAAAAUACUUCAAAGCCCCCAAGUCCUUCAUCUCAAACUCUAAGGCUAAGUACUUCUGUAAUUUACCUAUUUCAACAAUAUCAUCAUCAGUAACUACUAUAUCAUUGAAUAUGUUAUCAACAAACUAAUCUUACCAUCCCUACGUUUGAUCAAUAAGGUAUGAUUUGAGUUACCUUGAUGAUAUCCAUACUUCUUCAUUGCUUCAGUGAACCACCCAAACCAUGCUCGCGGAAACUGCUUCAAUCCAUAAAGGGCCUUUUAAAGCCUACACACCUUCCAACUAUUAUUAGACAACCUAUAGCUAGGUGGCAUGUCUAUGUACACUUCUUCUUCUAGAUGUCCAUGAAGAAAGGCAUUCUUCACAUUGAAUUACUUGAGAGGCCAAUCUAAAUUAGCUGCUAAGGACAAUAGAACUCGCACCAUAUUUAUUUUUACCACCGGUGCAAACGUAUCCUGAUAAUCGACUCUAUAUGUAUGCGUAAACCCUUUGGCCAUAAGUCUUGUUUUAUAUCUAUCUAUCGUGUCAUCAGCUUCGUGUUUAACUGUAUACACCCAUCGACAUCUAACAAGUUUCUUUCCUUCAGGUUGCAGAACUAUCUCGCGUGUUCUAUUCUUCUGUAAGGCCUCCAUCUCCAUAUUCAUUACUUCCACCUAUUUUGGGUCUUGCAAAGCUUCUUCCAUUCUAUUAGGAAUUUGAAUUCCUUCCAUCUGAUUGAAAAUUGUUUUAGCGUGAGGAGACAAUCUGUGUGUGGAGACAUAAUCAACAAUGGCAUAUUUCACCUUGCCUUCUGGUGAGAACUUGUGUGGUGGUAUUCCUUUGUUUGCUCAUGAAGGUAAUUUUUCACAAUUUGAACAGUAUUUUAAGAAGCAUUGGGAUAUGAAGGACUUACCUCAUGGAUGUUCAAUGGAGCAUGUGCAAGUAUGUUAGAGAGAGGGGGGUUGUUGUUGUCCAAUUCGAGAUCGCUGAUAUCCAGUUUGGCUCGGCUGUUUAGCUUGGCUCGGCUGGACUGGUCAGUAGCCUGAUUCUAGUAGCUGCUUGGCUAGACUUAUGUGCUUUCCGUAUUAUAUUAUCCCCUUGAAAGACAUGAUUGGGCAUGUCUGACACAAAAAACAUACUUAUUAAAACAAAAAGAGAGAAUCCAUACUUAAAAGCAAGUACAAAAUAAGUGAUGGAAAACAAGGAAAUAUAUAUAUACACACACACAGACGAUCCACAUUUUGUAAACCUACGGUUGUCCACUUUGUAACUUAUUUUUUUGUAGAAGAGGUGGAUUUGAUUCGUGCAAUUCCAAUUAGCACUAGAAAGCUAUUGGAUUCAUUGAUUAAAAAUGGCAGUUUAGUACAAAGUGCUUAACACGUUGCAAGAGCGUUGAGAGCAACCAAUGGUACUGCUUCUUCUUCUGCAUCUCCAUAUUCCCAUAUUUGGGAUACUUUUUGGGGGGCCCACACCUCUGCCAAGGUGAAAGUAAUCUAGCAGCAUGUAAGCUUUUACUUGCAUAUACAUAUAUAUUGGCAAAUUUGUGGAUAACCGUAGUUUAACAAAAGAACAGAGAGAGAAGGAGGAGAAAUCACGCAGAAGAGAAGAGAAAGAAGAUCAGGAUCGAGUCUAGGCGACUGAUACCAUGUUAACAGUAUAAGGAAGAAGAAUUGAGGCUAAAGGAAGAAGAUGAAUAUUGAAGAAGAACUCUUUUAUUUUCAAUCGUAUGAACAAUUACAGAGAGAUUGUGUUUUAUAUCAGAUCUUUAGCCUAUAACUAAUGCUUAACAGACUAACUAAUUACAGCUGUGACAUGUGAGCCACACGUGCCAACACUAACAAACUCUUAGCUAACUAUUACUGUUAUCACACAUCAGCAUUUUUAACAGGAUUUUUGACGGACUUGACAGUACUGGGAAUAGUGAAACACAAAACAUCGGUUAAGGGAGUAAAGUAGGUCACUUUAAGUUUUAUGGUGUAAUGCGAGAUUUUAUCAUAGUUUCAGCUUCAGGGAUACUGUAAUAAUUAAGAAAAAGGAAUGAAGAACGUGAACCAUUUAAAACGCAUUAGAAAUUGAAGAAUAAUAAGAUUCAUGAAUGGGAAGAAUUAUUAACUCAAGCCCACCAUGUCAAGACAGAACGAACCUUUUACAUGCGUUGUCCUCCUCAUGUUGUGUAUGUGUUGUACCUGUUGCUAAUUGAACUGUGAAGUGUUCAUCUUAUCCACAUAUACGUUAACAAAUAUGAACCCGCAAAUUUUGAACCGUCAGUAAUAAUCAGAGCUUAUAAUAUAAACCAAGUAUUUGUAGUGUAGGACCUUAUAUAUUUGGUGUAAAAUAUAACCUGUAGUGUAGGACAUGAUCCAACGGCCUCAGAGCCUUGAGGUGUGGCUGGGAGGUGGAGGUUGACAAGGUGGUGGGUGGUUGUUGGAGAGAGAGCAGAUAGAAUGGUGGUGGCGGCUGGGAUUGGAUUGGAUGGUGUUGUCUUGUUUUUUUUAAUUUCUUUUUAUUUUGAGGAUCUCAUUUUUAUUUAUGUAGUUUUUAUAUAUUUAUUUUUAAAAUUGAAUUCAAUUAUUUAUAUAUUAGUUUUUUGAAUUUUUUUAACCAUAAAUUAACGGAUUGGACCACAUUGCCUAACAGUACUAAACACAAUGACUAAUAAAUUGGCCAAAUUGUAAACAUGGAGACUAAAUUGGCCAACACUUUAAGACACAGAGACCAUCUUGACAUUUAAGUCUAAAAUAUAUCUGACUCUUCAUUAUAACCAUUAAUAAAGAACAUAAGAGGGUUUAGAACACCCAACUUUUAAUGCUUUUGAAAUUGAUUUUGGAUUUUUUUUUAUAAAAAUAAGCGAUAGUUUAGUAGAAUGGAAACAAUGUUACAAAGAAAUGAAUUUGUCUUUAAAAUUUUGAAGAUAAGGUGGGUGAGAAACUAGAGUGUACAUAGCAACACUCAAUGAAAAAGGAAUGAAGAACGUGAUGCUAAAAUAUGAAAACUAUGAGAGAAUAUUUGUUUCUGAGAAUUUUCUGUGUAUUCUUCUCCUUGUAAGAGGUCAUAUUUAUAAUACAACGAAACCUGAAUGGGCAAGUAAAUAAUAAAUUCCUAAAUCUAUUUACAGUAGGAAAUCAGGAAUUAAAGUAAAUCAAUUACAAUUAUAAUAGGAAUUCUUGGUGUGUAAGGAAAGUAAGUCAAUAUCCACAAGUCACGCCAACACUCCCCCUCACGUUGGUGCAUAGAUGUCGCCAAUGCCCAACUGAUCUAGUGAAUUGUGAAAUGCUUUACUGGAAAUUGCCUUUGUCAAAAUAUCCGCUAAUUGAUCCUCGGAUUUCACAAAAGGAAACUAAAACACUUUAGCCUCAAGAUUCUGUUUGAUGAAGUGUCGAUCCACCUCAACAUGUUUAGUACGAUCAUGUUGAACCGGAUUCUGUGUAAUGGCUAUAGCAACCUUGUUGUCACAAAAGAGAUUCAUUGUAGAUGUAGGUUUAUACCCAAGUUCAGUAAGCAACUUUCUUAACCAAAGAAGUUCACAAAUCCCUUUAGUCAUGCCUCUGAACUCGGCUUCUGCACUGGAUAAAGCUACUACAUUCUGUUUCUUGCUUCUCCUUGUCACCAAAUUACCUCCCACGAAUGUGAAGUAACCUGAUGUGAAUUUUCUAUCUGUUACAUUACCUGCCCAAUCUGCAUCUGAAUAACCAUCGAUAUUUAGAUGACCAUGCUUUGAGAACAUAAGUCCUUUUCUAGGUGCAGACUUCAAAUAUCUAAGUAUCCGAAGAACUGCAUUCAUGUGGUCUUCGCUUGGAGAGUGCAUAAAUUGACUAACAAAGCUCACUGCAUAAGCAAUGUCUGGUCGAGUAUGUGACAAAUAGAUCAAUCUUCCCACUAACCUUUGGUAUCUUUCUUUGUUAGUUGGAACUUGAUCCGGAUAUUCUCCAAGAUGAUGAUUCUGAACAAUAAGAGUGUCCGCAGGUUUACAAUCUAGCAUUCUUGUGUCUGUCAACAAGUCUAAGACAUAUUUCCUUUGAGAGAGAAAUAUGCUUUGCUGCAAUCGAGCCACCUCAAUUCUCAAGAAAUACUUGAGUCCACCUAGAUCCUUCAUCUCAAACUCCGUAGCCAAAUAGUCUUGUAGCUGUGAUAUUUCUUGUUUAUCAUUCCCAGUAAUAAUCAUAUCAUCAACAUAGAUUAUUAAUAUUGUUACCUUCCCUUUUCGAUGUUUCAAGAACAGAGUAUGAUCUGAGUUGCACUGUUUGAAACCAUUGUUCUUCAUUGCCAUGGUGAACCGUCCAAACCAUGCACGUGGUGACUGUUUCAAUCCAUACAAUGCUUUUCGUAACCUGCAAACUAUUCCAGUCUGAGUAGUAUUAUAUCCACGAGGAAUGUCCAUGUACACCUCCUCCGUGAGUUCGCCAUGUAGAAAAGCUUUCUUUACAUCAAAUUGGUGUAGUGGCCAAUCCAAAUUAGCUGCAAGGGACAAUAAGACUCUGACGGUGUUUAACUUUUCAACUGGAGCAAAGGUUUCUUCAUAGUCUAUACCAUAGGUCUGUGUGUACACUUUUGCCACAAGUCUUGCCUUGUAUCACUCGAUAAAUCCAUCUGCAUUGUGUUUUAUAGUAAACACCCAUCUAUACCCGAUAGUCUUUUUUCCUCAGGGUAUAGUCUUCAAUGUCCAAGUCUGAUUUUUCUCAAGGGCUUUCAUCUCCUCUUUUAUAGUUUGGACCCACUUAGGAUCUUUCAAUGCUUCAGAGACCUUGGUUGGAAUAUGGAUAGCAGACAACUGAUGCACAAAAGCCUUGAGUGGUUCAGACAGCUUCUUAGUGGAUACAUGAUUUGCAAUUGGAUACUUGGAUGUCUUGCCAAUAUCAGGUGAAUAACGGUUUCCUGGCUUCCCACGAUUUUGCCUGAAAGGUAAUUGAUAUCCAAUAGUUUUAUCAUCUAAAUGCACAAGUCUAGUAGAAGUAGUUACCUCAAGGAUAUUCUCAGGAGAUUGGUCUGUUGGUACUGUUGAGUUAGAGGAGGGGUAUUCAUCUUGUUGUUCUGUAUUGUAUGUAGGUGUGAGACUCGGAUCAGAAAUAUCUUCGCAUGGAUCAGGUGGGUCAGGCAAUUGAUCUCUAUGAGUGGGCAAUUGGUCGCUUUUCGACAGAGAGUAAUCUCGUGCUCCAGACUCAGGAUGAUCAAUCAUUUCCGUACAGAGGAGAAUUUCUUUAUUUUCCAAGUUGCUCCAAUUCUGCUCGUCACUUCGUAUCUCCCCCUGAAGCGUAGAAUUGGAUGAUGGGUCAUGGAAGAACAGCUCAGAUUCCAGAAAGUUCACAUCCAAAGUGAAAUAGGUUUGUUGGGUAUAAGGGUGAUAACAGCGGUAGCCUUUCUAAUGAGUAGCAUAACCCACAAAAACACAACGAAGCUCACAUGGAUCAAGUUUGCUACGUUGAUUUUUGUGGAGAUGAACGAAAGCCACACAUCCAAAGAUUCGGGGUGUGAGUACCAAAACAGAAGGCAGAGGUCUGUGUUGUGCAAGCACCUGUAAGGGAGUUUUAAAAGUCAGUACACCAGAAGGCAUGCGGUUGAUCAGAUGAGCUGCGUUGACAAUAGCAUCAUCCCAAUGAUGGCGAGGAACAUAAGCGCCAAUCAGAAGUGCUUGGGCGGUUUCAAGAAGAUGUCGAUUCUUUCGUUCAGCAACACCAUUUUAUUGCAGUGUCUGAGGACAAGUCGUCUCAUGGAUAAUUCCAUGUUGUUGGAAGUAAGUCUGAAAGUCAUGAUUGACAAAUUCUCCACCAUUGUCUGAGCGAAGAAUCUGGAUUUGAGCAUUAAACUGAAUUUUCAUAUAUUUGUAGAAGGACUGAAAACAGGAAAACACUUCAUUUUUAUUCUUCAGUAAAUAAAGCCAUGUCAUCCGUGUACAAUCAUCGAUGAAUGUGACAAACCAUCGAACACCAGAAUGAGCAGUGAUAGGAGAAGGUCCCCAGACAUCAGAGUGAAUUAAAGUAAAUGGAGUAGUACACUUGUUCGUACUCAACGGGUAGGGCACACGGUGACUCUUGGCCAAAAUACAAGUAUCACAUGUGAAGUCGGAGUCAUUGAAACCUGAGAAUAAAUCUGGUAUAAGAUGCUUCAUAUAACUAAAAGACGGAUGUCCCAAUCGACUGUGCCACAACCAGAUUUACUUUUGUUUGCUAUUAAAGGGAUGUGUCGCACUGUUAGCCACGCCGGGACUGAAGUCAUCGACAUAAUAUAGCCCCCCUCUCUUAAUACCACGACCAAGAAUCUCCUUAGUGCGAAUAUCCUGAAGUAAACAAAAACCCGGGUAAAUAAGUACACAACAAUUCAAUUGUUCAGUAAGCUGACUAACUGACAACAAUUUAGUGGAUAAAGAUGGAACAAGUAAAGUAUUAGACAGUGUGAGAGAGGAUGAGAGUGUAACAAUGCCAGCCCCUAUCACAGGAUAAGUAACACCAUUGGCAUUUGCAAUACAGGUUCGUCGAGGUUGUGUAGUAUUCAAAAAAAUCAUCAAGAUCAAACGUCAUAUGAUCAGUUGCACCAGAAUCAAUUAUCCAGCUCCUGGAAUCAAUCUUAUCAGAAGUAUAGAAUCCAUAACCAGUACCAUUACUGGUCAUAUUGCAUUGUCCUCAAUCUGUAAUAGUAGCCCACCAAUUGGGGUAGCCAUGCGAUUUAAAACAAGUCUCACAAGUGUGUCUCGGAUUACCACAAUAUGCGUAAUCUGGUCCAUGUGUCGGGGUCGUUAGUCUAGAAGUCAUAAUCUGGGCAGCGGAAGAUGUAUAGGAUACAUGUUGAGUAGGAAUUUGGAUCGGAAUCUGAGCCUGAGUCGGGGCCGGAGUCGGAGUCGAAAUCGGGAUCAGGGUCUGAAUCAGAGACAAAUUCGGGGUUGGGGUCAUCAUCGGAGUGGGGGUCGGGGUCGGGGUCGGGGUAGUCAAAAGAGGAUCCUGAUUCUGGAUCGAGUUCGGGGUCAAAGUCUGCAUCUGUAGGAGCGAAGCUAUCUGGACACUAAACUGAACGAUGGUUGGUUGAGAAUGAGAGAAGGAGUCGGUGGUGCUACCUCCAUCAGGGUUGAAAAAAUCAGCAACCCCCAUAGCAGCGGCGGGGGUUUGAAACUAGAGUCAGCAAUUCCAAGAUCGCCGCUCUGAUACCAUGCUAAAAUAUGAAAACUAUGAGAGAAUAUUUGUUUGUGGGAAUUUUUUGUGUAUUCUUCUCCUUGUAGGAGGCCAUAUUUAUAAUACAACGAAACCUGAAUAGGCAAGUAAAUAAUAAAUUCCUAAAUCUAUUUACAGUAGGAAAUCAUGAAUUAAAGUAAAUCAAUUACAAUUAUAAUAGGAAUUCUUGGUGUGUAAGGGAAGUAAGUCAAUAUCUACAAGUCACGCCAACACGUGAAUCAUUCAAAACGCAUGAGAAAUUGAAGAAUAAUUUGAAUCACUAAUAAUCCAAAUCUUUUCCAUGCGUGGUCCUUAUGCUUUAUAUCCGUGGCACCGUCUAUCAAUUUGACUGGAUUGUGUGAAAUGGAAAAGAAAAGUGGCACAAGUAACCUUUUGUGGCACCGUCUAUCAAUUGAUGUCAAGCCCCAGAAGCUCAAACACGUCUAUAAAUAUAUACCUGUCUAUCAUAAGUGUAGUACUUGUGCUUUUAUUUUAAAGUUUACAAAAUUUUCUUUGGUAGGUUUUCAAGCCCACUCACUUGUGCAAUGAUUUCCCCAUCCGCCCUCCUAUUUCAGGUGAACCGUUUGAAGCCAGAACUUAUAACACCGGCGAAGCCAACACCUCAUGAAACAAAGCCAGAACUGAAUUUACCACUUAUUUGUAUCUUUAAAAAUAAAAAUAAAAAUAUUAAAAAAACAUAAAAAGGAAAAAGGAAAAUUAAUUUCCCAGCAACCAGCAGGUUGAACGACGAAGGCCCUUCCACCACCUUACUGCUAUGGAAAUCUGUCACUGCCAAGUUCCUCAAAGACUUAUUGGCUUAUUGGCCUCCGUAUGAAGCCUAUAUUGCCAUAGAGGAUUCAGUGUAUUCAUCAAUACCAUAAACCCACCUCCUUUUAGAUCCUCAAUCUAUUUCAUUGAAACCUACAUUGAUGGAGAGAGAAGAUCAACCAUGGCAAUUAUUAUGUCUACGAGAUGAUGACUCUGAAGCCUCCUUUUAAUGUUCAAGGUUGUGUUGCGAAGGUGUGGGGAAGGGCAGAGCGAAUUAGGGGCUAAUAGAUGGGGAGUUGGGGUUAGGAGAUACCAUGUAAGGGCUGAGAACAAUGUGCAGAGAGAGGGAGACAAGAAAAACAAUUUAAACAUUAAAAUUUUUUAAAGAAAAUAUUUCAUUUAUUAUUUUUUCACAUCUGGCCCUUGCGUGGCAUAUAUUUCAGCAAAGAAAUGGGUCGCAUUGAUGCCACAUCAGCAUUUUUAACUGGAUUUUUGACGGACUUGACAGUGCUGAGAAAAGUGAAAUACAAAACAUUGGUUAAAGGAGUAAAGUAGGUCCCUUUAAAUUUCAUGGUGUAAUGCGAGAUUUUAUCAUAGUUUCAGCUUCAGGGACACUAUAGUAAUUAAGAAAAAUGAAUGAAGAACAUGAACCAUUUAAAACGCAUGAGAAAUUGAAGAAUAAUAAGAUUCAUGAAUGGGAAUAAUUAUUAACUCGAGCCCACCAUGUCAAGACAGAACGAACAUUUUACAUGCGCUGUCCUCCUCAUGUUUUGUAUGUGUUGUACCUGUUGCUAAUUGAACUGUGAAGUGUUCAUCUUAUACACAUAUACGUUAACAAAUAUGAGGACGACAUAUACCCGCAAAUUUUGAACUGUCAGCAAUGUGGUCCAACCCGUUAAAUUCACGGUUUAACAAACAUUAUCCACUUUUUUUUGUCUUUUAAAAACAUAAAAACUUUUAUUAAAAUUAAUAAAAAUAUUUGAAUUAAUUUAAAAAUAUUAACUUACUCUUAGGGCCAGUUUGGCAUUGCUGUGCUGUGAAAAUAAUCGCUGUCAGAUUUGCUGUGAGAGAAAUCAGCUGUGAGAAAAAGCAGUUUGGCGUUUGGUAAAAUUUUGUUAAAAGUAUUGUUGGUAUUGAUUUUAUGCAUAAUCAAAAAAUGAUUGCCGCAUAAUCAUUAAACCCAGCGCCUCUUCAAAACUGAUUCCUGCAUAAUCAAAAAAUGAAAGCAGCUAAUUAGCUGCUUUCCCUUAUAGCUUUCUCUCACAGCAAUUUUUAACAAUAAGUGAUUUUCUCACAGUUUACCAAAUGGGUUGGGCUUCUCAAAAUUUUUAAAAAAAUCACUUAUUACCCCAAAUAAGCAAUGCCAAACGGGCACUUAAUUUCGGGCUGAUUGAUGAAGUCCUUCUAUAACUACAAAUAUUUUAAAAGAUUACAUAAUUUUCAGUUCAAAAAACGAACUUAACAUUGUUUCUCUUUGACAAAUUGGAAGCUUUAGCACAGAGCUAUUUCUGGUUCACAAUGACAGAACAUGAUCCAACGGCUUCGGAGCCUUGAGGUGUGGCUGGGAGGUGGAGUUUGACAGGGUGGUGGGUGGUUGUUGGAGAGAGAGAGAGAAGAUAGAAUGGUGGCGGCGGCUGGGAUUGGAUGGUGUUGUCUUGUUUUUUUAUUUCUUUUUAUUUUGUGGAUCUCAUUUUUAUUUAUGUAGUUCUUAGUUUUUAUUUUUAAAAUUGAAUUCAAUUAUUUAUAUUAGUUUUUUGAAAGUUUUUUAACCGUAGAUUAACAGAUUGGACUACAUUGCCUAACAGUUUUAAACACAAUAACUAAUAAAUUGGCCAAAUUGAAAACACAGAGACUAAAUUGGCCAACACUGUAAGACACAGGGACCAUCUUGACAUUUAAGCCUAAAAUAUAUCUAACUCUUCAUUAUAACCAUUAAUAAAGAACAUAAGAGGGUUUAGAACACCCAACUUUUAAUGCUUUUGAGAAGAAAAUUGAUUUUGGAUUUUUUUUUAAAAAAGCAAUCUUUAAAAUUCUCAAGAUAAGGUGACUGAGGAAAUGAAUUACGAGUGUAAAUAGCAGCACUCAAUUAAUGAAAAAGGAAUGAAGAACGUGAAUCAUUCAAAACGCAUGAGAAAUUGAAGAAUAAUUUGAAUCACUAAUAAUCCAAAUCUUUUCCAUGCGUGGUCCUUAUUUUUUAUAUUUGUGGCAUGGAAAAGAAUUUGAAUCACUAUCAAUUUGACUGGAUUGUGUGAAAUGGAAAAGAAAAGUGGCACUAGUAUAGUAACCUUUUGUGGCACCGUCUAUCAAUUGAUGUCAAGCCACAGAACCACAAACACGUCUAUAAAUACUUACCGGUCUAUCAUAAGUGUAGUACUUGUGCUUUUAUUUUAAAGUUUUCAAAAUUUUCUUUGGUAGGUUUUCAAGCCCACUCACUUGUGCAAUGAUUUCCCCAUCCGCCCUCCUAUUUCAGGUGAACCGUUUGAAGGCAGAACUUAUAACACCGGCGAAGCCAACACCUCAUGAGACAAAGCUACUCUCUAAUAUUGAUGACCAGGAAAGCCUUAGGUUUCAGGUUUCAGUCAUAAUGUCUUACAAGAACAAUCCUUCAAUGAAAGGAAACGAUGCCGUUGAGGUGAUCAGGGAAGCAUUGAGUCGGGCACUCGUGUAUUACUACCCUUUGGCUGGCAGGCUCAGGGAAGGACCUAAUAGGAAGCUUAUGGUGGAGUGCAAUGGAGAAGGUGUCUUGUUCAUAGAGGCUAAUGCUGACGUCACGCUUGCGCAACUUGGGGACACCAUUGCACCCCCUUCUCCAUUCUUAGAGGAGUUUCUUUAUAAUGUUCCAGGCUCUGAUGGGAUUCUUGGUUGCCCUCUGUUGCUGAUUCAGGUGAGUAUUUGUUAGUUAACUGCAUGUUAAUUAGUAUCUGUUUUUGAAUUUCUUGGUGGAUCUUGGCCCUUCUAUACAAUGAAAGUUUCUGAUUGCUGGAAUUUACUUCCAUGGAAUCUUUGCCUGUCCACUACUGUUAAUUUGUACCAUAUUGGUCCCAAAUAAAACCAUCUACUGACUUCUAAGAUUGUACAAAUGGUGAGAAAUAUCAGGUGAGUUAAAACAAAGUUUGAUAUACAAAAAACUAAUAAAAAAUAUCUAGCCUCAUAGUUCUCAAGUACUAUAUGUUGCUCUGAGUUGUUGUCUCUUCCAACGGGAAAAAAGAUAGUUGGAUCUAGGUGGAUAUCUUUACCAUAAAAAAAGAGCAAUAGCAACCUUUUGUCACUAACUAAUUGGUAUUGGUUACAAUUGAAUGGUUGGUCAAUGCUUUUGUUUACUUAUCACUAUUAUUUGUGAUUAAUUUCUCACAUUUGAAUACUUUGGUGACAGUUGACUUAAAUAUAAUAAAUAUAAAACUAAUUAUUGUGAUUAACACCGAAACAGUAAUUUUUCAUGAUUAAUAUUUGAUUAGAGCCUUUGCUAAUAAUUGUAAUCCAAUAAAAUAUUCGGGGGAUUACCCAACCUCUCGUUCUCUCUCCUCAACCUCUCGUCUCCUACUCCUCAAACAAAUCGAAACUUACUCCUUUUCUUUUGUAAGCUCUUCUCUCCCAAAACAAUCCCUUUCUCGUCUGAUUAGUCGUACCAAAUUUUAUAACAUUUGAAUUAGCAAAAGUAUUUUCUUGAAUAUGAGUUAGUCGUACCAAAUUUUUAAGCUAGUGGCUUCCCAUCGAGAAAGCUCUACCUUCAUGAUUCUAUUACUUCCUAAGUUUUAAUGAAUAAUUGAUUUUCUAUAAUAAAAGAAACAAACAAAAAGAAAAAAAAAACUCAACUCUCAUAUACAAAUUUGAACUCAAACGUAUCUUUAAACUAGAAAUUGAGUACCAAUAGAAGUCAAACGUAUAUACAAGUAAAAAUGUUAGGACACCAAAAUUAUACACCAAAAUUGAAUUCCGAAUGAGAGGUGGCAUUAGCCACAUCAUCAGAUUUUCAAUUAAAUUUGACACAUGGUUAAUCUAUUUUAUCACUAAAAUUUAAAAACUAAUUUGUGAUUUAACCUAAAAAUUCACCACUACAAAACGCCCAUGUUUUAUUAACACUCCUCCGUUGUUCCGCCGGCUGAACUGCCCUUUACUAAUUUUAUUUUCUUAUUCUAACCCCAAGUAUAAUCAACAAAAUAAACUUCAAUAUGUACACCCAUCAAAUACGGGAUUUAUAGAAAGGAUUUCAUUGAAACUCAAUGUCAUUAUUCGAGGUUUUGGGAUCCUGCCUUUGAAACUGGAAAGCCCACAUGUUCGCCCAUAAAAGAAGGGACAUUUUUGCUACGAGGAUUAUAUGAUCCAAGGUCGGCCUCGUAUUUAUUUCAUGAUUAAUUUGGAUACCUGGUGGUCUAGAGUGGUGAGGAGCAACGCAGUAGGCGGCAGGCACGACGGAGGGAGGAUUGGUGGUUGUAAGUAAAACACGAGUAUUCUGAAGUGGUGGCUUUUCAGUUAACUCAUAAAUUAGUUUUUAAAUUUUUUUGUCUAAAUAAAUAAAUUAAUGAUUAGCACAUGUCUCAAUUUUAAUUAAAAUCUGAUGAUGUAUAAAUUUGGUGUCCCUAGCAGUACUCAUAUACAAGACCCUUGCUGAAUUUAUUAUACAGGUAACCCGUCUUUCAUGUGGAGGUUUUAUACUUGCAUUGCGCCUAAAUCACACAAUGUGUGACGCAGCUGGGCUUCUCCAGUUCUUGAACGCCGUUGGGGAGAUGGCACAAGGCGCACAAGCGCCAUCUACUACACCAGUGUGGGAGCGAGAGCUCUUGGGUGCUCGAGAUCCGCCACGAAUUACCUGUGCGCAUCAUGAAUAUGAAGAAGGGAUUGAUGCUCAAGGCUCAUUUCCAAGCACUAACAAGCCAAACAUGGUCCAACGAUCUUUCUAUUUUGGGUCCAAGGAGAUAAAGGCCAUUCGGAAUCAUAUUCCACCGCAGUUAUCAACCUGCACUACAUUUGAUUUGAUAACAGCUUGUUUGUGGAAAUGCCGCACACUUGCACUUAGAAUGAAUCCAAAACAAGUUGUUCGCCUUUCAUGCUUAGUCAGUGCACGCGGUAAGCGCCACAAUGUACGUCUUCCCUUGGGAUAUUAUGGCAAUGCGGUUGCAUUUCCUGCUGCAGUUUCAGAGGCUAAAGAUGUAUGUACAAAUCCAUUGGGAUAUGCUUUGGAGUUGGUAAUGAAGGCAAAAGCUACAGUGAAUGAAGAGUACAUGAGAUCAGUCGCAGAUCUUAUGGAAAUAAGAGGACGACUACCAAAAUAUCCAUUGACAGGAAACUUCAUAGUUUCCGAUACAUCGCGUGCAGGUUUUGGAGAGGUCAGUUUUGGUUGGGGCAAGCCGGUAUUUGGUGGACCUGCGAAGGCCUUGGAUUUGAUUAGCUUCUAUGUUCAACACAAAUGCAACAAUGAGGAGGGGGUAUUGGUACCAAUAUGCUUGCCAUUAUCGGACAUGGAGAGAUUUCAGCAGGAGCUCGAGAGGAUGACUGUGGAGACUGUGCAGACUAUGGAGGAUAUAUAUGACACAAAAUCAGCUAAGAUCGUGUCAAGGAUGUAACAAAUUUUCUCAAAUUUUACAUUUCUAGUGUGAUGUCAAUUGAUUUCGGAAUGUACCAUAAACAUUAGAUGCAAAGGCUUAUGUGUGUGUAUAUGCAUAGCCGCUUCUCUUUUAUGUGCUAUCUCAUGUCAGGUUAUUGUUAUUUUCGUGCAUAUGUAUGCUUGACUUUUUCUAUGAGCUUUAUUCCAACAAAAACUAUUGGGGUUGUAGUUGGAUGACCAUUUUUGGAGUGAAGUUAGCGAGAUCAAACUUUCUCCACCGCUGGUCGCGGCUGCAUGGCCAACCCCUCUCCGGUCAGCCCCAUCACUACCACUAGCAACCAGCAGGCUAAACGACGAAGGCCCUUCCCCCAACUUACUGCCAUGGAAAUCUAUCACUGCCAAAUUCCUAAAGACUUAUUUGCUUAUUGGCAUUCGUAUGAAGCCUAUACUGCCAUAGAGGAUUCAGUUUAUUCUUCAAUACCAUAAACCCACCUCCUGUUAGAUCCUCAAUCUAUGUCAUUGAACCCUACAUUGAGAGAGAGAGAGAGAGAGAGAGAGAGAGAGAGAGAGAGAGAGAGAGAGAGAGAGAGAGAGAAGAUCAACCAUGGCAAUUAUUAGGUAUACUAGAUGAUGAUUCUCAAGCCUCCUUUUAAUGUUCAAGGUUGUGUUGAGAAAUUGUAAGGUAAAGAGAUAUGAAAGAUGGGGAAAAAAGGAAGAUGAGCCACAACCAUGACUGGCCGUUGGGGUGGGGGGACUUGUCGGCGAGGAAGGGUUGGGGCUGCUAUUUUUUUUCUUUAAGUUUUGUAUUUUUAUUUUUUUAAGUUGACAAUGUAAAAAUAAACUUUCAAAUCCAGCUGGAUAAAGAGUUUUAAUUUUUUUUUUUUUAAUAAGACACAUGGCAAAAAUUGAGUUGGAGUAUCACCAACUGACAUGGUUAUACGAUACCAUUCUAUAAUUUUUCGUUCGAGUGGUAUAGAAUCACAACAUCAGUAGGUUAUACUUCCACUCAAAAGUUCCCACAUGGCAUUUUUAAACCAAAGUAAUACUUUUCUUUUCCGAGUUGGAUUUCCAACUCCAAUUUUACCCUUCAACUUUGAUGACCUUCCUCGUCCCCAUUUAUCUAUUCCCUCCCCCACCGUCUUCCCUCCUUUUUUUCAUUCUCCUCCCCCUCUUGUUCAGCUAUGCCAUGCAGUUUUCGCACAAUGGUUUUUGUAUUAAACCCGUAGUUAAGCAAGUUGACCAAUGACAGUUUCUUACAAUUAAUCAGAACUUUUUCCUUUAAAUUUGUACAACAGUUUUAAGCAUUUACCUUGUACAUGAGGACGAUAGAAUAAGACAUUCGUGUCACAUGAAAUGGACGUCAGUGACGUUAACUCACAUCUAACUACACGAGACAGAAACGUGGCCCUUGUAUGAACAGAAUUGUGCAAACGAUUUCUCUCUCCAUCUAAAAUGCGUAAGGGUUAUAAUCAGUAUUUACAACGAUCAUCAAUCGUCUUCAUUUUCUGUCAAAGAAAUUCAUGCACCAGUACACAUUGAAUUUACAGUUGUAGCUUUCACUAAAUUAGUCACGUCUAAUCGAUAGUUGUAGCUAUAGCAUAUGACAAGUCCCCCGUCCUUUAAUUGCAAGGAUUGUCCAAUAUUCAUACAAAAGGAUUUAACAUGCGUAAGUGGUCCUUGUUUUCUAAAAAUAUCUUACUUGUGUGUAUCUGUUGUAUAUGUAUGUAAGCCUUCAAGUGUUCAUCUUAUCUUAUCUAAGGUCCACAUAUUUCUUAACAAAAUGUGGAUGACAUGAACCCAGAAAUUACGAACAGUCAUUACAAGCUCAACUUAUAAUAUAAACCAAGGAUUUGUACCGUCCAGGUUACGUCUUGAUAUACAUUUUACCAAAAAGAAAAAAAAGAGGUCCUGAUAUAUAUUUGACUUCAUCGUAAUAAUUAAAGAAACCGACAAAGCUUUGAAAGGCCCAAUUUUCUAUAUGAAAAAAAAACAAACGAGUCCUAAUUUUUUAUUUUUUUUUAAAAGAAGGAAAUUAACUUUUGAUCUAUAGAUGGUGGAAACUUGAACAUAUGAUAGUACCUAUGAGAAUCACAUGCCUGAUAGAUUAAUAUCUUGCAUAUAUAAUCUAUCUAUAUUUGCUUUGUUUUUGUAUGAAAUUGGUUAGUUUAAUGUGUUUAGUGAGGAUUUUAUAGGCAAUUGUUCCUAACAAAAGUUUGGAGCUAAAACUAUGAUUUUGGAAGCUUAAGGGAUCGAAAUGGGUGAAAUUAUCAAACCAAUGAAAUCUCAAGAACUCACUUUGUCAUUGCAUCAUACACCUGGAGUGCAUCUGUGCUAGUGUCAGUGUAUACCCACAACUAGUCUCAGUGACCAGCGCCAGAAAGAUAGAGUUAGAGAAACUUACCAUCCUUUUUUGGAGCUGAAAUGUAUUAAAUUGAUGGAGGUGCUAGGUUAUGCCCUGUGCAUCUGUCGAGAUUUGGUGUCAAGACCCAUUUGCAUUUGCUGAAGGUUGAUGUCUCUGUAAGCACCAAUGAGCAAUUUGGAAUCUACAAGAAUUAUUUGUUUAGCCAGAGAAGAAAAAAAAAGAAAUGACAGAGAGUUGAUGGGCCGUGAAGAAGAAUUCCUUGAUUAAUUUGUUGAAGCACACAAACUUUGCCUACAUGUAUAUUAGUGAUGAAGACUUACCCGGAAUUGGACCAAUGGUUUAAACAGAUUUCAACAAACCCAAUGGACAAAAACUUCUUGUGAAUUUAUUUACAAGCGCACAAUCCGCACAAGUAAUAUAGAAAUAAGUAAAGUGUCGUUCCCACGAAGAGUGAUUUAAUUUAUUAAGUACCGAUUGUGACUAACCCAAGACUUUAUUUGAAUAAUUGAAUGAUGAGAUUUCGAUUGAUUAAUUAACUAAAAACAAUGAAUAAAAGUAAGCGUAGAAAAAUAAGGUUGUGAGAUUCAAGUUAUGAGAGCAUUAGAGCUUUUGAUUUCACUAUAGUCAAUUCUACCCAAUUCUUUUAGCAUGUUAAUUCUAAUUAUUCUCCAUGUUGACAGUCGAUUUUCCCUACUUUAUUCGAUACUCCAUCCCUGGUUAUACUAAAAGUAUUCUUAUUACCAACCCACUCUAUCUCUAGUAAUGAAAUUAAGAUAAUAAGAACCUAUUAAUUUUUUUGGAAAGCCUGCAAAACAACCACAUAAGUCAUGACAAACAUCCCUAUCUAAUCAUGUAACCCAUGACAACUAUUACAAGAAGCAAACUCCAAAUUGGAUAUCCAUGUCGUCAACUUAGCAUCAAAUCAAUUAAAUAUUGGCCAACCAUUCGAACAUGAAAAAAUACUUGGAAUUAACAUUGACUAAAGUAAUUGAGUAUUCAUGGCUAGGCUACAUCGUAGCCCUAGCAAAAAGGAAUUAGUUCAUCACAACUUUAAUAAAAACCAUGAUAAACAAUGUCAUAGGAAAUAAAAAACCUAUUGAAGAUUUUAUCUCUGCGCUAGGGGUGGGCAUCGGGACCGGAAAACUGGAACACCGAACCAAACCGGUGAAAAAAAACAGGAAAAAAAAUCGGUUGACCAAAAAAGUCAACAAACCGCAGUUCGGUUCCGAUUCCAGUUUUACACCCCACCGCACUGCACCGGACCGAACCGGACCGGUCAUAUAUUUUUUUUUUAUUUUUACAAAUUUUUAAAAUCUAAUGCCAUAUUUUAAAUUUUAUAAUCACUAUUUUUCCAAGUUCAACUUCAAAAAAUUUCUAAAUGUAUGAAUUGGAUUAUUUGUUAAUUUUUAAGCCAAAAAAUAAGUUAUUUAUUAUAAUUUAAAAAAAAAAAAUAUUAUUUUUUUCUAAAAAAUUUAAAAAUUUUAAAAAAUAAUAAUCCGGUUCAAAACCAGAACUGAUCAGAACCGAACCGGCCGGUUUUUGAAAUUUUUUUUGCUUAAACCGGACCAGUUAAAUAGUACCAGUUCCGGUUUGAAGUAAGAACCGGACCGCGCCCACCCCUACUCUGCACAACAGCAACUCUAGCUCUAAGUCGUCUUCCCUAUCUCUCCAAAACUCUCUCUCGUGCCUUUUUGGUCCGUGGUCUCCAAAAAAUAACAUAAUAGAACCCCCCAUAGCCUUAUGUUAAGGCUUAGUAUUUAUAAGCCAAAGGGAAUUGUCCAAAAAUAAAGAAAAUAAUAAUUAUUUAGGAAAUAGAGGAAUAAUAGGAAGGCCAAAAGGCAAAACCCAAACUGAGGAGGCAAAAUAAAAUAGAGUGCAGCUGAGGAAGACUUGGGAAUUAUACAAGUUUUGGACGGUUUUGGCCCGAGUUUUUGACAAGUUCCGUUCACUUUUUCUCCAUGGUCCAAGAACAAAAGUGUCUCCACUCGUUGUCCUGAUCACGUAGGUAUAGGUAUUGAUGGGUGUUUUGAGAAUUUUUCGGUCGCCGGAAUUUCUCAAGACACCCAGGCACUGUCGGGGCAUGUGGCGGCACGUGGGCCAUGUCUGACUGGCCCAUUUGGUCCUAAAAUGAUCCCCAUGUAGUUCCGAGCACGAGGUAUGCUCGGAUUUGAAUUUGGUUAUCGUUUGGUGAUCGAUCGGAUUUACAUAUAUUAGGCGUUAUCCGGGUUAGAUAUGUUCAGACCACUUGAUCGACUCCAUUUUCAAAUAUGUCGAUCUAGGUAUCUCUAGGAUUGUGUAGGAAUUCACGAAUCAAGAAAGGAAUCCCGGAUGCCCCGAUUCAAUGACUUAAAGUUUGCGUUUGAUUGUCGUUUGAUGUUGAAUUCUUAAUCACUGUUCUUAAUAACUUGGUUGAUUAUCUUGAUGCUUGAUCACCAUCAAGCUUACUUCUUGUGAUUAGCAUUUGUAAUUCGUCUAGGGUGAAUACCAUACUUCUAGGGUUUACAUGCUUGUUGGAGGUUUUCACUGAUCUUAAUGAGCUUGUAUGUGUUGAUAUUUCACCUAAAUACCAUAGGUGAAUUGCAUGUAAGAAUAUACUAGUUAGUCUAAAUACUAUACGUAAUUCAUGAAAAAGGAAAACUAAGCGGCGACAUCAAAUAGUCAAAUUUUCAUAUAAAAUUCAGACCAAAUGUCAUCAUGAUCAGACAAUUCUAGGAGUUAUUCCGAGUCUGUUGACAUUCCAAGAAACAAGUUAUGGGUGUUUGAGUUCGUCGCACUAUCUAUCCUCGCUCACUUCGACAUAUUCUAUGCUUUGCUCAUCCACACCUACACAAACCCAGAAAUUCUCACACCCUCUCCCUUUAAUUGAUUUUGCAUGAAUUAGUUUUCUUUAUUUUAAACAUUGAGGAAAAUGUUUGUUUUAAGUUGUAGGUGAUUGAGUUCUUUGGUUUCAUAAUAUACGCAGUAGUCCUCUAUCUUUGUUUAAAUUAUGCUUCAGUAUGGCGAACAUAGUUGACAGGUUAGGGAUUUGCUGAUCGGCGGUGCAACUUUUGACUAACAUAUCGUCAACGUACACCUUCACGGUGUGGCCGAUUAAUGGGGUGAACAGGUUGUUCACCAGGCAUUGCAAAGUAGCUGCCUAAAGGCAUCACCUUGUAACAAUAUAGUCCUCGGUCAGUAAUGAAGGAUAUGUGGGCCCGAUCGUCAGGGCGCAUGAAGAUCUGGUUAUAAUCGGAGUAUGCAUCCAUGACGCUAAGAAGGGCAUGGCCUGCCGUGGAUUCAAUAAGCUGGUCGAUGUGAGGGAGAAGGAAGCUAUCCUUGGGACAUGCUCAAUUGAGGUUGGUGUAGUAUACACACAUGCACCAUCCCUUCUUCAGUUUGUUGACCAUUAGCACAUUUGCCAGCCAUGUGGGAUAGUCCACCUCCUUGAUGAGACCGAUGCUUCGUAGUUUCUCCACCUCUAUCUUCAUGGCUUCAUACCUCUCUGGGUCGUAGGCACGAUGCUUCUAUCGAACAGGUCGUACGGCCGGGUUAAUGCUUAAUCUAUGGGAGAUGAUGUCGGGUGAUAUGCCGAGCAUAUCAUUAUGGGACCAAGCGAAAACCUCCGAGUUCUAGCGGAGGAAGCUGAUGAGUGCGGAGCGAAGAUAGGGUAGAAGGGAAGCGCUAAUUUUUACCUGCCGAUCCGAGAUAUCAUCAUGGAGGCAAACAAGUUCAAGAUCUUCCACUGGUUUGGCCUAAGGAGUGACAGAUUCUUCCCUAGGAUACUCAAGUCGCUCAAUGCCAGUGAAGGGAAGUGGUGGACUAUGGUCACUGAAAGAGCUUCAAGCCGUAGAGGGCAAUUAAUAGAUUUAACCACCGAAGCAUAGUAGCUUAGCGCCAAGUUGGUCAUCUCGCACCAUGCCUGUGCCGUGAAGAGUGGGGAACUUUAGCAUCAACAUAUGUGUGGAAUGAAGACCCUUAUUUGUGCCAAGGUUGGGCAUCCAAGGAUGAUGUUGUAGGCUGUGAGGCAAUCAACGAUUAGAAAGGGACUAGUAACUGUGGCCCAUUGGAGCCGAACCGAUUGAAAUGGGGAGGUGGAUGCUUCGAUUGGGUUGGACCACAUUGCCAGAGAAACUCACAAGAAGCUUGAUGGUUUGAUCAAGCAGGAGGUCAGAGACAUGAAGUUCGUUGAAUGAUUCUGCAAACAUAACGCCAUCAAAGUUAGAAAUGUCUGCCUGAAUAAUCAGCGGAUCAUCGUGGGGAAAACCAUGAUCUUCCUCUUCGCUAAAGAUAAUGGGGUCCCAACCUGUUCUGAACAUUUUCAGCAUGCAUCCAUGCUCAGUGCUAAGGACUUGAUGCACAUAGAAGGACCGGACAUAAUGCUUAAUGAAGUUGUGGGAUGUGCCAGCUAGAGUAAGGCCACCGCUGAUGGUGGUGAUCAUUUUGAUCUGGCGAUAGUGAGGGUUUGAGGGAGGUGGAAGGUUGUGGACAUACUUGUCUAAUCUGCCUUCAUGAAUAAGGCCUUCAAUGAUGUUCCGCAUAGGGAUGCAAGAUUCUGUAUCAUGGUCGUUGAAUUGGUGAAAACGACAGAAGACAUCGAUGUUCGGCGUAGGGUUGUUAGUAGGUCCUCGAGGAGGGGGUUUAGGUAUAAUGGGUGCCUCAUUGACCAGAACAUGCACAUAAGUGGUGUUCAGUGUGGUGAACACUUCAAACUGGGGCUUAGGCUUAUAUGGGAGCGGGGCACGACCAUUUGUCUUUGGGGGUUUGUUGCCACCAGAUUGAUGAUGGUUAGAGUGUCUACUGCAUUUCCCAUUGUUGAAGGAGCGCUGGUAGCCGUCCUUCCUUUUAGGGUUCUGGCAUCCUGAGUGUCAGGGGUAGGAGCAUAACGGUUGGAUUUGGCGAGGGUGGGUGCCGAAGCUUGUGGCGGGUUGCCGAAGGUGGUCCGGGAGUGGUUGACAGGGUUGCGCUUGGAGUUAAAGUAUUUGGCCUUAGCAUGGAUGCCUGCUUGCUUCAUUAAUUCAGCAUAGGUGUUCAAUAGGUUGCUUGAUAAGUCCAUAAAUUUACACAUUUAUGUACUCUUUAUACUUACUUUUUGUAGGAGAAUUUGAUUUAAAAAGGACUUAUUACUUUAUUUUCUCAACGGAAAUAUGACUUUUUGGUGGAGUUUUAGCACAAGACCAAUUGGAGAUGAAAGCUUAGACCUUGAAGAUGAUUGUGGAAUUUUUCUAGAAUUUUCGGAGUAGCCAAUGAGAGUAGUCUUUGAAGUUAAGUCAGCAUAAGGUGCAAUCCCGUCAAAACUGUGCUGCUGUGGAAUAAUGACUAUUUGAAGACUUUCCUGAUUUUUCCUCAAGAUGUGUGAUAUAUGGAUGGAAAGAUAAGACAAAAAUCUACAAAUUACAUAUUUUUGCCGAAUUGUUUUGAAGGAGGAACAACCCCAAACGUGCCUGAAAAGCAACUGAUGUGUUAUCUCAAUCCAAGUAGGAAGAGGAGUCAAUUACUUACCCAUUUUGGAUUUAUGUUUUAAUUAGGUUUUUCUUUAUUUUUGGGCUGCUAUAAAAGCUCAGCUAGGGUAGGAAUAGACGUGGGGUGUUUUAUUUAAGCAUGAGAAACAACUCCCUUGGGGACACGCAAAGACUAGGAGAAAUUGAAGAUGCUGGAAGAGUACCGCAAUUGGCUAAGUUUGAUUGUUUCUUCCUUAUGUUUUUGUUUAUGUCGAAUUCUAUGAUUAUGUGUAACUAAUUUUCUCUUGCUAGGGCAUGAUGUAGCCCUAGUUUGAUAAUCUAGUGUUCUUAUUUUACCUAUCUAUUGAUUGCCGUUUGAUGUUGGAUUUUUAAUCACUGUGCUUAAUAACUUGGUUUCUUAUCUUGAUGCUUGAUUACCAUCUAGAAUUUUAAUUGAGUUAAUCGGAUGCAAAUUAGAGUAAAUACCAUACUUAAUUUGAGGGUUGCUUCUUGUGAUUAGGAUUUGUAAUUUGCCUAGAGUAAAUACCAUACUCCUAGGGUUUAUAUGCUUAUUCGAGGUUUUCACUGAUCUUAACAACUUUCUAUGUGUUGAUAUUUGACCUAAAUACCAUAGGCGAAUUGCAUGUAGGAAUAUACGAGUUAGCCUAAAUACCAUAAGUAAUUCAUGAAAAAGGAAAACUAAGCGGCGACAUCAAAUGGUUAGUAAAUGGGUAGGUGAAUAAGAGGCUAGAUCGGAUUACUAGUGGUGAAUUCAUUGUCCUGGUGCUUUUAUCAAUUUGAAUUUCUCAUCUUGUGUUUUGUGACCUUCUACUUAUUUUGUCUUUUAAUUUCGUUGUUAAUUAAAUCUUUCUUUCAAAAACCCCUUUUGUGUUUACAUGAGUAUGCUACGUGUUUAAUUUCUUAUUUAUAUAAUUAGAGUAGUUAAAGUAUUUUGUGAAGUAAAUUAGGUUAGACUAAUUGGUAGUUGAACUCAAUCCUCAUGGGAAUGACCUCGUAUUUACCAUACUAUAGUACGAUUGACCUUGUGCACUUGCGAGUAUAAUUUGUGUUUAGACUAAUCUUUAUAAUCUCCAUUUUUCAGGUUAUCUAAAAUUCACAACAUUGCUGUGAACCAAGUAUCAAAAGUUGGAUUCACGAAGGCCACUCUUGAAGGCACCGAAGGCAGCACGAUCAUCUGUUUUUGGGUAGCCAGAAUACUCGUGGCUAAAGCGGGAGGCGUACUCCUGCAAGGGCUCAUCUUCACCAUGCCAAAGCAUAUAUAGGUCAUCCGCAGAGUACAGACUAUCAUUCUGAAUCAUGAAAUGGACAAGAAAAGUCUGCUUCAGGAGGUUGAAGAAGUUGAUAGUGUAGGGUUUAGCUGGUACAACCAUUUCAAAGAGGCACCAUUGAGGGUGGAGGGAAAAAGAAGGCACAUGCCUUCAUCACUAAAACCCUUGCACCCUAGGGCAGACUGAAAAGAAUGGAGUGGGUCAGCGGGUCCUCCUUACCCAUGUAGAACGUGAUGUCAAGUGACUGAACAUUCUUUUUUUGACGAUAGUUGGGGAUACACUCAGUGAAGGGGCCAGGGCGUGGCUUAGUCCAAAGGGACUGGUGGCUGCAGUGCUGCUCGUCCUCGAGACGUCGAACCUUCUCGAAAAUGAGUCUUAUGGCAAAUCGGUAUGAGGGAGGGUAGGGCGCCAAAGACUUGUGUUGUUAGGUGGGCGGAGGCGAAUAAGUUUCCCAUCCCUCGAAAGCUUCAGCAUGGUAAGGCUCCCAGUCCUCAUGAUAGUAACUUUCCCAAUCAUUCAAGUCUCCAACCCCCUCUUGGGUAGGUAAGAGGGUGGGCUUCUGCAAGGGUCCAAGGUGAGCGACCCGGGGGUUGUCAAGGUCUACAGGAAUAGGGAUGGGCUUUGACCAAAGCUUCAAGAUGCGAUCCUUGCAGUCCCUGUAAAUCUUGGUCGGGCAUGAAGCCUAUCAAUUGGUUGGGAGAUUUGGAGAAGUCGCGACUUGGUCAUUUUAGGAUGAAGAUGGCCUUUGCCUUCGUCAGGCCUAGGCUGGGUUAGGGCUCUGUGAUGGGAGACGGCUUGUGGGUUUGAUUGGGUGCGUUCAACAUCUUGGGUGAGGUCAUGCUGGGUGAAUUAGUGGUGAGCGCUCUCCCAGUUACGCUUCAAGGUUCGAAUAUCGUGUUCCAAUUCGGCAUUCUUGGUACGAAUGUGGUUUUAGCUCUCUGUCAUUUUGGUGACGUCAACAUGAAGGCCCUCUACUUCCGCUUGGAGAUGCACAUCGACCUAAGGUUUCCUUCGAGAGGACUCCCUAUGAGAGGUAUGGUACUAGGUGCAAAGGCUAGCUUCGCUAGGCAUUGCGGAAUGUGAAGGGCAGAAGAGACGAUGGGGUCGAAUAGGAGAGGGAGCCAGCAGAGCUGGUAGAGAAGUGGGAUUCAGAAGUUGUUUCCCACAUAUGGCACCAAACUAUUGAUGCUCCUUUUUGGAAGGUCAACUUAGGUGAAAGUGUGAUGGAUCUUCAGCGGGGUGAGAGGGUUCAUGAAUCUUCGAGCACAGAAGGAUCCUACAUAAGAAAAAGAGGAAGAAGCAAUCAUGAAGAUUCGGGCACCGGUGCGGUACCUGCUGAAGGUUCUCCGAUGCUUAAGUCAGCAGAUAUAGGAUAUAUGGUAAUUUUGGCAGAGUAACCGUGAAAGUAAAAAGUCAUUACCUCAUUUUGGGGACUUGUGCCUCUUUUUGUAGAGAGGUGGAAGUGGGAUUUUGCACAGAGUUUCAAUGUGGGACUUUGUGCAAGUUGAUAUAGUGGCGACACGUGUUCGCAGAUUAGGUUCUUUAGUUGAGAGCUUCGGCAACUACCUUCGAUAGGCAGUUGCCACAUCGGAGGGGGCAUUAUGUCAUCAUUGAUGUCAUCUUCAGUAGGCAUGUGAGUCUGUCUGUGCUCCAGUUCCAAGUGUCGAAUGUACUCGGUUGAAUAUGGUGUAACCAGUUCUCACACCCUCUCUCUCUCUUUAAUUGAUUUUGCAUGAAUUAGUUUUCUUUGUUUUAAACAUUGAGGACAAUGUUUGUUUUACCUUGUGUGUGAUUGAGUUCUUUGGUUUCAUAAUGUAUGCAGCAGUCUUUUAUCUUUGUUUCCAAUUCUGUUCUUGUCCACCAUUGUUUUUGUAUUUUGGCUCGCGUGGUGUUCUUUGUUUUUUCAUUUUGAAUCCAACCAUAUAAAGAACAUGAACUUUGGCCAAGUAUUUUGUGAGAUACAUAUAAUUCUUUGUGCCUGGGUCAAAACUGCAAUUUUGUUUAUUGGUUUUCAAUUCAUUUCAACUUUUGGUUUUUAUUUAAUUAGUUUUUAUUUUAAUGUUUGUUUUAUUUCUUUUUUUUUCCAUUUGAAAAAAUAAUUUAAAAAAUUUGAAAAAUUUCAUAAAACCCAAAAGUUUUUUUUUUCUUUUUUUUAUUUUUUACAUUGAGUCUUGUUUUUAUUUGUUUGUGGUAGUCCCUUCCCAAUUCUAUGAUGAGAUUGAAUUUUAUUUACAAUUAACUUUCAAGAGGUUUUGAGCAUGACACUAAGUAUUUACAUUAUCUCUGUGUUAGCCUUAUUUUUGUGAUUAGACUUGGGAAAUCCUUAUUCACAUAGCCAUAUUAAUAUGAGUUUUUAUUAGAGAUUUCACAAGAUUUAAAUGGCUAAAUAAGCUAGUGUAAAAUUAUAUAACCCUCAUUAUGUGAACUUUUGAGCCUGUGCCUUCCUUUCUUGAGUGUUAUAUGAUAUUCUAUAAUUUUCUUGUCUACAUCGUUGUGAUCUCAUUAUUCUUUGUUUUGGUCAAGUAAUUGAGGAUGUUUAAAUUGUUUGCAAGAACUACUUUCAUUAUCUAUUUGAGGCAUACUUCGUGAACCACAUGGAUUCAAGAAAGUGAUAUAGGCAUUGUUUCUUUCGUUUGAGCACUUCUAGCCAACCCGUAUCACUUUUAUGCCUAGUAACCCCUUUGUGCCUUUUAUGUAAGCCUUUUUAUUUCGUUCUUUACCCAAUUCUCCUCACCUUAAUCUAUCAUAUGUUUAUCCUAUACCCCUCUAAGGAGUUUUGUAGAGUAUUUUCGUUGUUAUGGAAUAAUUGCACAAAUUGUUCAAACAUGUGGAAAGUAAAGGAUACUAUUUCAAAACAAAAACAAACAAAAAAAAAAGAAGCUAAUUUCAAAGCCUUUUCAACUCGAGUUAUUAAGCUCUAGGAGUGUUUUAAAUUUAAUGCCCUAAAGCUAUCUAGCUUGGGAAUCAUUGGGCUAACACUCACUACAUGGGUUGAUUAGAAAGCUAAUGGUGUGAGGAAAAAAAAAAUUGUGAAAAAAAAAAAUUUCUGAAAAGAAAAUUGAAGACAGUAUCAAUAUGAAGUUUCGUGCUCAAAGUGCAAGAUGUUAUCAUUUUCAUGGAAAGCUCUAUGAAUUCCUUAGAAUUUGUUCAUCCGUAUCUUUUUCUUGUUUCACCCAUCACUCUAAGCCCCAUUACAACCUUAAGUCCUACUUGAUCCAAGGAGAAGUGUGGUUCCUCAUGUGGAGAAUAGGUGUGGAAGGACUAUGGUCAGAUGGUUUGAAUGUUUUCAAGUAUGCGAUAUCUUUUCAUGAGAUCUUUUAUAUUUUUCAUGUGCCUUUAUUUCACUUAUGUGAGUACAUCCUAUUGCUUUGAUUCCUCUCACAUAUUUAUGAGUGAUAGUAACUAGUCAAAUUUCGAGUGUUUUUAUUGGAGUGAACAUCCUUGAUGAGAUUUGAAGUUGAAGCUUGUUCUUAUUUAGUUAUUUAACUCGUGUGAAGCUUAAGUCGUGGGUUAUAUUAAUGUUGGCUAUUUCACACACUACAUCUAAGUUGUUCAAUUAAAGUUUGGUUAACCCUUUGAUAAUGUCUUGAGUUAUUGUUGCUUAUUUCUUGGAAGUUAACUAACGGUUGGUGAUUAUCUCUGAGAUCAAUAUUGGGAAGUUAGUCGAUCGCUUGUUUGCGUUGAGUCUUUGUUCUUUUGUUUUUAAUUUUCGUUUUCUUUCACUUAAGGACUAGCAAAAUAUAAGUUGUGUGUAUUUUUUAAGUCCAUAAAUUUACACAUUUAUGUACUCUUUAUACUUAGUUUUUGUAGGAGAAUUUGAUUUAAAAAGGACUUAUUACUUUAUUUUCUCAAUUUUCAGCUUUUCAUAGCAAGUAAUGGUUUUCAAUGGAAAUACGACUUUUUGGUGGAGUUUUAGUACAAGACUAGUUGGAGAUGAAAUCUAAGAUCUUGAAGAUGAUUGUGGAAUUUUUCUAGAAUUUUUGGAGCAGCCAAUGAGAGUAGUCUUUGAAGUUGAGUCAGCAUAAGGUGCAAUCCUGUCAAAACUGUGUUGCUGUGGAAGAAUGACUAUUUGAAGACUUUCUCCUCAAGGCGUGCGAUAUAUGGCUGGAAAGAUAAGCCAAAGACCUACAAUUUACAUAUUUUUGCCGAAUUUUCUUGAAGGACGAAUGACCCAAACGUGUAUGCAAAGUAACUGAUGUGUUAUCCCAGUCCAAGUAGGAGGAUGAGUCAACUACUUACCCAUUUUGGAUUUAUAUUUUAAUUAUGUUUUUCUUUAUUUUUGGGCUGUUGUAAAAGCCCCGCUACAGUAGGAACAGACGUGUGGUGUUUUAUUUAAGCAUGAGAAACAACUCCUUUGAGGGUUACACACUCAAAGACUAUGAGAAAUUGGAGACGCCGGAAGAGUACCGCAAUUGGCUAAGUUUUAUUGUUUCUUCCUUGUGUUUUUGCUUAUUAUGUGUAACUAAUUUUCUUUUGCUAGGGCAUGAUGUAAGCCUAGUAUGAUAAUCUAGUUUUCUUAUUUUACAUAUCUAUUGAUUGCCGUUUGAUGUUGGAUUCUUAAUCACUGUACUUAAUAACUUGGUUGAUUAUCUUGAUGCUUGAUCACCAUCUAGACUCUUAAUUGAGUUAAUCGAAUGCAAAUUAGAGUCAAUACCAUACUUAAUUUGAGGCUUGCUUCUUGUGAUUAUUAGGAUUUGUAAUUCUUCUAGGGUAAAUACCAUACUCUUAGGGUUUACAUGCGUGUUGAAGGUUUUCACUGAUCUUAAUGAGUUUCUAUGUGUUGAUAUUUCACCUAAAUACCAUAGGCGAAUUGCAUGUAGGAAUAUACGAGUUAGCCUAAAUACCAUAGGUAAUUCAUGAAAAAAGAAAACUAAGCGGCGACAUCAAUGGUUAGUUAAUAGGUAGGUGAAUGAGAGGGUAGAUCGGAUUACUAGUGGUGAAUUCAUUGUCCUAGUGCUUCUAUCAAUUUGAAUUUCUCAUUCUUGUGUUUCGUGACUUUCUACUUGUUUUGUCUUUUAAUUUCGUUGGUAAUUAAAUCAUUCUUUCACAAAACCAUUUUCUGUUUACAUGAGUAUGCUACGUGUUUAAUUUCUUGUUUAUAUAAUUAGAGUAGUUAAAGUAUUUUAUGAAGUAAAUUAGGUUAGACUAAUUGGACGUUGAACUCAAUCCUCGUGGGAAUGACCUCGUAUUUGCCAUACUAUAUUUACGAUGGACCUUGUGCACUUGCGAGAGUAUAAUUUGUGUUUGGACUAAUCUUUAUAAUCUCCAUUUUUCAGGUUGUCUAAAAUUCACAACACCUUCAUAAUAUAUUGGUUGCCCUCAGAAUAUAUCGGUUGCCUUCAGUAGAGUCUGUGCACAUGACUAGCUUUGCAUGUACAUGUGUUUAAUAUACAAUUGUCUUACCAGGAUUACCUAUACUUGUGUUUAUUGCGUCGGUGUCGGGCCAGUGAUUUGCCUGUACCUGCAGUUUGAUUACUCUAUAGGUGUCCGACUAGUGUAUUGCAUGUACCUCUCUUGUAGGUAUCUAGCCAAUGAAUUGCCUAUACUCAUAUCACAAAUACGAGUGUCUAGCUAGGAUUUUCCCUUGUCACCAUGUUGAUUGUCUACACAAGGUUGGUUAAUUUCCCCAUAGAUAUACUUGGGUGGAGAGUUUUUAUAUGGAUUGGUUUGAGACUUGAAUUCUAUUAAGUUACUUGUUGAAUCGCUUAAUUUGUUGAUUUUAAGCUUAUGGUAUGAGAUUUCAAUUGUGUUACUUGAAUUUGCUUAAGUAUAUAUGUAAAGAUCACAACUCAUUCAUGUAUGAGUACUUAUAAAGUGUUUAGUAUGUUUGGUAUAUCUAUUUUUGAGGAAAACUUUCUUUUCGUUCACUUACAUUUUUACUAUUUUGCCCUCCCAUGAUAUAGAUAACUGAGGUCUACCACUCCACGUCAAGGCAUCAUCAUUGUCGUUCGCUCUGCAACCUUCUGCCAUAGGAUUUCUUUUUAUCAUUCCUGCUUUUUUAUUCCUCAGGUUGUAAAAAGUUAUAAAUUGCUCUGUUAUGCCCAUUUAGGAUUUGUGUAACAGCUUGAGACAAAUAAAUUGUUUAUUAGACUGGGUGUGAUGAUAGUAUUGCGCGUGCUAAAGUUUGGGAGUUAUUGUUGGACUAUUUGUUGGUGGAUUUAUUUGAGAAAUGUCCAAGGUAAUAAGGUGGACUCUGCCGAAAUUUAGGCAGGAGUCGUAGACUCAACCGAGGUGAAUUUGUUUUCAAAGGCAUGUUUACUAAUUGGGGUCCGACAUGUGUUUGAUGUCAAACAGGAACAGGGUUCAUGGAUUCCAAAGGGGAAUUCAGGGCGAACCCUGUCAUGCAAGCCAAGUCUUUUAAAUUACCUAGGAUCUGAUCCAAGCCCGCUCUUCAUACCGCCACAAAUCAGCAAAUGGGCUAUCAAAGAGAGUCCGACUUUGCCAAAAAUACGGGCCCAAACAGGAGGGUGGGGGGUGUUCGUUAUUUUUUUUACUUUCUGUUUAAUAAUUUCCAAUCUCCAUUUCCAAAUGUCAAGAUUUGAUUGUUGGGUUGAACUUAGAGGUGUCAACACGAGCACAACCCACUUAAAUAAGGCCUGGUACAGCAUGAUUUGUAUCUUUAGGUCGUGUCGGGAUAAGGUAAUUAGGCCCAAUGGGCCGGCCCGUAUAAAACCAUUUAUUAAAUUAUAUUUAUUUUAGAGAAAAAUAAUAUAAUAUAUUUAUAUUUAAUUUAAGUCUAUUUCUUUUCUCUAAUAAUAUGUAUUAAAAUUUAAUGUUUUCUUUAUAUAUAAAAUAAUAAUUUUGUUUUUCAAAUUUCAAUUUGUAAAAUCUAAACAAUAAUAUAGUUAUUUUCUAUUUAAAUGUACUUUAAAAAAAGUUAUUAGUCACUUUUUUCAAUAAAUAAUAAAUCUUGUUCGUAUAUAUACAAUUGUAAAAAAAUAUUUAAAUGAAGUUAUAAAAAUAUAUACAUAUAUAUAUAUAUAUAUAUAUACAUUAGUCAAAUUUGGUGUGGAUUCAUCUCGACCCGAUUAGUGGUCCGCCCUGAGCACGGCCCGAACCCAUGUAAAUUUGGCCGUGAACUCGAGUCGGAAUUGAUGAUUUUUAUAAAUGAAAGAGUCCAGCAUGACCUAUUUAUUAAAUUGACGAACUCUAAACAGACGGGAUUGACAUUGUUUAUACCGAAAUAAACGGCCUAUGACCACUGAACACGUGGACAGGAUCGAUAUUGAUCACAGAACUCCUUCGGCAUGCUUCCUACCGAAGCCAUCUAUCUUGGCCCUUUUACCAUCGGACACGUGUCAUGCUCACAAUCCGUGUCCACAGUCCCACAUCGAAAAUAUGAGCACAGUGCACACCUCCCAAGGCCUAUAUAAGGAGACCCAUAUCCCCAAAAGGAGAGGAUCAGAACUAACGGUACGCUAUCGAUUGAUCUGUUAGUUAACAUUACUAAAACCGUAUUUACUAAAGCAUCGGAGAGCCUUCGGCCGGUACCACACCGGUACCCCAAGGACUUACCGAACGUGACCUUUUGCAGGUACUUACCCUUCCGAAGUAGAACAUCUUCCAAAGACAGUCACCUACCGAAGACAUAAUAUCACUAAGUUGACGAAAUACGUGAUGAACCACUUUUUCGCAUCAACAGUUGGCGCCGUCUGUGGGAAUCCAGAAAAAUCAUCAGCCCAUUAUCUCCAAAACACAUGGGGACCACUUCAGUACCUACGUUCCUAUCGGAAGAAGGGCUACCGUUCGGUAGGCAAGGCGGAGCUAGCCCAGCGCUACCCCCAUGCACUCCCUUCGGAAACGCCCCCGCUACCCAAACAACCGCCGAAGCCGAGCUGGUAGCCCAAAUCGCGUCCCUACGAAAGGACAUGGCAAGGCUUCAGGAACACAACAACCUUCUUUCAUCCAAAGUGGACGAAACCCAGCAGCUGCUCCACCAGCAGCACACGCAGAACAUUCAGACAACCCACUCUUCCGAGAGCUUGCAGACCCCUCAUAGGAAGAAGAGACACGAUAAGGUAGCGAAGGCAACGCCCGCACCUUCCAAACAGUUGGUGGUCCCUGCACCCAGGGAUCAGCCGCACAUCCCCAAGAAAGUCUACUCCGAUUGUCGACAUCGGAUUAACGAUUGAGAGGCAGAGAGACAGAGGUCUCCGAUCAGGAUUAGCGCUCGACAAAGGGACUCACGGAUGAAAAUCCUAGGAGACAAGUCGCCUAUUCGGAAGGUCAGAGGGCUGGACCCCGCAGAAAAGUCAGAAUCUGAAUAUAUCCCUUCCAGGACGCAAACUGCCACCUACCGUUCGGCAACGCCUUCCCGGUACUCGGGGGUUGAUCCACCAAACCUACAAAGACGAUCGGAAGAUUAUGAUUCCGAGGAAAUCCCUAGCCGAGACCCUGUUGUCCGACUCCUUUUUCAGAAAGUCCAGAAAAUGGAAAACGACAAAGCUCGCUCCCAAGAACCGGAAUGGGGAAAGCUUCGGCCCGGACCAUUCACCAGGCGCAUCCGGGACUCUCGGCAGGAUAGGGAAGGGCAGCAACUGCGCAUACCGUUCUAUACGGGAACGGAAAACCGCUUAACACACCUCCACUCAUUUCAGUCCGCCAUUGGAUGCAAGGGCCUGAGCGAUGAAGGGCAGUGCCUGCUAUUCUCGUCCUCCCUUACUGGGGCAGCCCUGAACUGGUUCUACCGGUUGGAGCCGGAAACAGUAGACUCCUUCGACGAGCUGAAGCAGAUUUUCCUCAAUCACUUCAUGAUCCAAACGGACCGUCUUUACUCUGCCGAUGAUCUGUACACGAUUCGGCAAAGUGAGGACGAACCGUUGAGAGAAUACGCGGCGCGCUUCAGUCACGAGUACUCAAGGUGUCCGGAAACAGACGAUAGGGCAGCCUACGGCACCUUCAAGAGUGGCAUUCGGUCCCCGCAUUUUCGAUACCUAGUACACAGCAGCAACUGGCGCACGUACGACGAACUGAUGAAGCAGGCGGCAAUCCAAGCCAAAGCCGAAUACUUCAACUCGAAACCUGCGGUUUCGGCACCGCGAGGAGAUGCCGAACCAAGUGCUUAUCCGGCAAAGGCGAUACCCUACGAGAGAGUCGACACAUACUCGGUAGGUCAUAAGAGGAAAGACGACCGUGCCGAUCGAAGAGAACACUCGAAGAAGGGAAAAGGGACUUAUGGUCGCAACGACCACCGAGCGCCGUUGCCGAAUCGUGACCACGGCAAUGAAGUCUUCACCCUAUUGAACACUACCUACGAGGCCGUCCUGAUGAACGAACAAGAAAUAAUACCAAAGCCGAAUCUACGAAGACCCAAUCGGCAAGACAACCGGGAUACCGGUAAAUUCUGUCGAUACCAUCAGCACAACAGCCAUAAUACGGAAGACUGUAUAAGCCUGAGAAAAAUUGUCGAACGGUUGAUCAGAGAGGGGAAGCUAGACCAGUAUAUCGCCCGGCAGCCACCGGCGCCGGUGCCGAACACAACUCGGCAGAUAAACAUGAUAAGCACUAUCAGCGGUGGCCCCACCAUCGCAGGAAUGAGCAACCGUUCAAUGAAGCAAUACGUGCGUGCCGCACAAUUUCCUCAGGUAUUCGGCAUAGAGGUGAAUCGGCACCAUAAAACACCGAAAGUUCAUUGGGAACCAAUCACAUUUUGUGAAGAGGAGGAAGAGGGCAUCCUCUAUCCCCACGACGACCCGAUGAUCAUCCGAGCAGAAAUUGCCGACUACGAUGUAGGACGGGUGCUGAUCGAUACCGGAAGCUCGGUGAACGUAAUUUUUGCCGAAGCUUUUCGAGAAAUGGGAAUAGAAGACAGCCAGGUCAACCAGCAGUUGACACCUUUGUUAAGUUUCUCUGGGGACCUGGUCCAACCGGUCGGUAGUGUAAAACUGCUAAUUACCUUCGGCACUGCGCCAAGAAAAACGGCGGUAUACGAUCAGUUCCUCAUCGUUGACUGCCCGACGGCGUACAACGUCAUAGUUGGACGAACGGCACUCACCAAGGUCAAGGCGCAUCUUUCCCCCCACAUGCUACUGAUGAAGUUCCCGACCCCCAACGGCACAGGGGCUGUCCGAGGAAAUCAGUUAAGCGCGCAGACUUGCUACGCCACGGCCCUCAAGUCAACCUCUUUCCAAAUCCCCGACGAGACCAUGUCUGUACAGGGGAUACCGAACGGUACGGGACUCGUUGACGACCUAGGGAUGAGUCCCCGACUCCUCACACACAACCUGCCGAAGAACUGGAAACGAUAACCCUGAGCGACGAGCAGCCCGAUCAUCGGGUUAAAAUCGACACCAGACUCACCCCUACCCUCCGAGCGCAGUUCAUAGACUUCUUACGGCACCAUUCGGAAGUGUUCGCGUGGUCCUACGAAGAUAUGCCCGGCAUAGACCCUGAGAUCAUCAGCCAUAAACUCAGCAUUUCCCCCGCUUAUAAGCCUAUAAGACAGAAGCGUCGUUCGUAUGAUGCCGAACGAUACAAAGCGAUGCGCACAGAGGUUGACAAACUUCAAACCAUCGGCUUCAUCAGGGAGGCUACGUAUCCGGUAUGGCUGGCAAACUCGGUGAUGGUCCGGAAGGGUACAGGCGGGUGGCGAAUGUGCCAAGACUAUACCGAUUUGAACAAGGCCUGCCCGAAGGACAGCUUUCCGUUGCCACGGAUAGACCAGCUCGUGGACGCCACCGCCGGACACGAACUGUUCAGCUUCAUGGACGUCUAUUCGGGAUACAAUCAGAUAUUCAUGCACCCUUCCGACAGCGAACACACCGCCUUCAUAACGGACAGGGGGUUGUAUUGUUACAAUGUCAUGCCGUUCGGCCUGAAGAACGCGGGGGCAACAUAUCAAAUGCUCGUCAACAGAAUUUUGGCCAAACACAUCGGCAGCAUCAUGGAAGUUUACGUUGACGACAUGUUAGUAAAAAGCAGAACUGCCGAAGAACACCUGCACAAUUUGUCAAUCAUGUUCGGCAUACUGAAAGACUACCGGAUGAGGCUGAACUCGAUGAAAUGCGCCUUCGGUGUAUCUUCCGGGAAAUUGUUCGGGUUCAUGAUUAGUCACAGGGGUAUCGAAGCGAAUCCCGAAAAAAUAAAGGCAAUCAUCGAUAUGGAAAGGCCGAAGACGACGAAGGACAUUCAAAGCCUUACCGGACGCAUGGCGGCCUUGACUCGCUUCAUAUCCAAGGCUACCGACAAAUAUGUACCGUUCUUUAAAGCCUUGAAAUGGGGCAAACGGAAUAUCAUAUGGACUGCCCAAUGUGACAAAGCGUUUCAAGACUUAAAGGACUACAUGGGCAAAGCCCCCCUUUUAUCAAAACCGCAACCCGGAGAGAUUCUCUGCCUAUACCUUUCGGUAUCUAGCACUGUCGUCAGCUCGGUAUUGAUUCGAAAACCAGAAAAAGCAGAGCUACCGAUUUUCUAUGUCAGUAAGGCACUCCAAAGUGCUGAACUUCGGUAUCCCCCAUUAGAGCAGCUUGCACUAGCCCUUGUGGUCUCGGCACGAAGACUUCGGCCAUACUUUCAAGCGCACGGAAUCAAAGUCCUGACUAACCAACCGCUUCGGCAAGUGCUCCAAAAACCAGAGACUUCUGGCCGAUUGAUCAAGUGGGCGAUCGAACUCGGAGAGUUCGAUAUACAAUUCAUGCCAAAGCCCGCCGAAAAUGGUCAAGCCGUUGCCGAUUUUAUCUCCGAGCUCACCCCAUCAACAGCACAGACAACACCCGAGCCGGUGACCGAGACCGGAUUGCCGGAGGAACUAGACACCGAACGCUUUGACGUCUCAACUCCAGUAUGGAUUCUACACGUCGACAGCUCGGCAAACCAACAAGGGUGCGGAGCAGGCUUGGUACUAACAACAUCGAAGGGACUCAAGAUCGAGUACGCCCUCCGAUUCGACUUCCGAACCUCCAACAAUGAAGCGGAAUAUGAGGCUCUCUUGGCCGGCCUUCGGUUAGCCAAGAGCAUGAAUGCAAAACAAAUCAGAAUUCACAGCGACUCCCAGCUCAUUGUGAACCAGGUAACGGCAGACUUCGCGGCCAGAGACGCCUCCAUGCACGCCUACCAUUCGUCCACCCAUCAACUGCUCCAAAGCUUCCGAGCCUACGAGAUCAAGCAGAUCCCCAGAAGCGAAAAUAGCCAUGCCGAUGCAUUGGCACGACUGGCUUCGGCAAUCAAUGAUAAAGUCGGAAGAAAGGUACCGGUAGAGAUUCUUGCCCAACCGAGCACGGUAACCUCCGAAACAUGCACCGUGCGGUACGAAGAUACAUGAAUGUCUCCUAUCUACUCGUACCUGACCAACGGCACCCUUCCAGAAGACGAGGCCCAGGCCCGAAAGCUUAGGUACCGAUCGGCAAGGUACACCGUCAUCAACGACGUCCUUUACAAACGUAGCUACACAACUCCAUAUCUCAAAUGCCUUACAGCAGAACAGGGGGACUACGUCCUUCGGGAGAUCCAUAAUGGUGUGUGCGGCGACCAUUCCGGGUCCCGGUCACUCGCCCACAAAACCUUUCGGCAGGGGUACUUUUGGCCGACCAUGCACCAGGACGCUCACUCACUAGUGAAAAAGUGUGAUAAAUGCCAGCGCUUCGGCAACAUACAGCAUAUCCCUGCCGAACCCCUUACACCGAUCGUGAGUCCUUGGCCUUUCGCACAAUGGGGACUAGACCUGAUCGGUCCGAUGCCGCAAGGUAAAGGCCAGGUAAAAUACGCCGUGGUUGCCGUCGACUACUUCACCAAAUGGGUAGAGGCCGAACCUUUGGCAACCAUAACGGCAGCAAAGAUGGAGGACUUCGUCUGGACUCACAUUUGUUGCAGAUUCGGUAUCCCAUAUGCUAUCAUUACCGAUAACGGCAAGCAGUUCGAUUCGGAACUCUUCAGGCAAUUCUGCACCCGCCUGAAAAUCAAUUUGUUUUUCGCAUUACCAGCUCAUCCCCAAUCGAACGGUCAGGUCGAAGCAAUAAACAAAAUCAUCAAGAAACUACUGAAACGGCAGCUGGACAAGGCCAAAGGAGCCUGGCCAGAAAAGCUUCCCAAAGCACUCUGGGCCAUUCGGACAUCUUACCGAACGUCCACGGGAGAGACCCCUUUUUCUUUGGCUUUCGGUUCGGAAGCCGUGGUGCCUGUGGAAAUUGGCGAACCCUCCUAUCGAACGGAAGACUUCGCACCGAAGCCAAACGAAGAAGCCGUUUCUCUAAGCCUCGACUUACUUGAAGAACACCGAGCGCAUGCCAACCUUCGGAACGAAGCCUACAAACAGCGUGUCUCUCGGUAUUACGACUCUAGGGUCAGGCACCGCUCCUUCCGAAUCGGAGACUGGGUCAUGCGGAAGGUAUCCCUAGCAACCAAAGAUGCCACGGAAGGAACCCUCGGACCUUCUUGGGAAGGACCCUAUGAGAUCAUCGGUAUCCUUCGAUCGGGAACCUACCGCCUAAGAGACUCCAACGGCAAGACCCUCGGUCAUCCUUGGAACGUGGAACAUCUCAAAUACUAUUUCAAGUAACCUACCCUACGGUAGGACAAAGUUGUAACCGAUUGAAAUGUAUUUGCCAUUCGGCGGAAAUUAAUAGAAAGCCUUCGGCACUAUUACUUCAGAACCUCUUUUUAAAAUUACUCUACUAAGCCCACGGCUGCCGAUAGUGGCAAGUUAACGUUCUGCGGCAUCUUUAUUAGCCCACGGCAAUAAAUGCUUUUCGAAAUUGUUACCCUACAGAUUCCAUCCGAACUUGCCAAUUUCGAAAUGUCCCUUUAACGUUAUAAAUCCUAUAUGGAACCUUUCGGCAAUAAGUACGAUCAGCAAUUGAAACAAACUCAGAUUGUUCAAACAACAGUAAAUAAAAACAUGCAUUUGAAUUAAAGAUGCCCUCAGCAUCAAUAUGUUCGGUACAUGAAAUUAAGAUAAAAAAACUAAUACAACUAUUACAAAAACACGGCAGGGAGCCUCAAGAUUUCUCGGCGGCGGCAGCCUCGGCAGAACCAGAGCCUUCGGCAGUGUCCUCCCCCUCGUACUCCUCGAUCAUUUCCUCGGUUAUUCCUUCCGGUAGGGGGGGAGGGUCGGCGAUGAAGUUCAGGUUCAACUUUUGCCCAGGGUUGUACCGUUUGAAUCGGUACAACAAGUCCGCCAUCUCCGAGCCCACUUCCUUAUCCAGGAGAACAGUGAACUCUUCGGACGAGCGGUACCCCGGGAUAGCUGACUGAACAGCAGCCUCGAUCUCCGCGGCCUUAGCCCGCUCCGACUCUUCCAAGGCCACCUGCACUACCUCUUUGGCGGCCUCGGCAUCCCUCGCUGUCGCUAGCGCUGCCUCCAGGAGACCCCUCAUCUCCUCCACCUUCUCCUCCGAAGUGAGAACCUGCCGUUCGGCAGACUCUUUCUCCUUCAGCAGGUGGGCAUGCUCCUGGAGCGCUUUGCCAGCCUCGGCGACCUUGGCCCUGCCGUCUUCGUACGCUUUCUUGGCGCACUCGGCAGCAGCAAUGGCCCGCUUGAUGCAGAGCCACAUGUCCAUGGACGCCUGCACAAAACAAACAAAGUCAGAAGCGUGCCACACUUAUUAAAAAAAAAAAGGGGGGGACGAAGGAAGAAAGAAAAUCUUACCGAGGCCUGAAGCCGGAAGGCGCGUCCAGCCUCCUCCCGAAGAAACUUCUUUGGUAGUUCGUCGAUCUCCGGCAGCUCCAUCUGAGAACCGAGGAUCAUAUGGUUGACGAACUAGACCAUCUUCGCGGGGGAGGCGAUGGUGACGGCUUCGGAAGGACCGUCCUCGUCCUCAACCGCAAGGACUGCCCUGGGGACCUCCGAUUGACGAGGGCGUUUGGGGACUGGCUCAGCUUCCAGAUCUACCGUCUCCGGCCGCUUGCCGGCAGCCUUGGCAGCGGCGGCCUCGGCAUCCCGAUUUUCAUCACCGACCCGCCUUAACACAGGCUCGGCACCCAGCUGCCGCAUACGAUCAGCGAGAGUCUGAUCCUCGGGAUCCGCCGCUGCCUGCCGAGCGGAAGUCUCUUCGGGCUGCCUCUUUUUCCUCUUGCCCUCCAGGCCCAUCAUCAGGCGCCUCCUGGAGGACUCGUUCAUCUUCCUCGCCUCGGCAGCCUUCCUGGCGUCCGUCACUGGUCAAAAGCGUUUGUCAGUCGGCAAGCAAAAGCAAUACACGAAAAUUAAAAAAAAAAGAGAAGGAAAGAUACACUUACUCUCGGCAGGGUCAACGAGGCCGGCUCUGACGAGGUUGUCGGUGAAGAGGAAGCGUGGGUAAACUCGCUCGGCAGCGAGUACUCUGAGCCUCACUCUGUCGAGCUGCUGGAUCUCACUCUGCUUGGGGCUCGACUGCUUGAGUUUACCUGUCAGAAGAAGGAAAAUUAGUAAAAUGAAGCAAGGAAAAAGCAGAGAGAAGAGAAGCCGUCCUAUCAAUCAGUAUCUCAGGAACCUACCGGCAAUCUGAAAUGUCGUGGGUACCGAGAAGUGGGGGGGUGUUCCCGAUGGCGAUUCCCAAUUGCCGGAGAGCAGCACCCGCCGAUUCCUCCACGACUUUUGGGAAGUCGGCACCGAGCUGAUGAAGUGCCCCCGCUCGGAAGCCUUCAAGCAGUUCGCCUGAACCCAGCCGCCGUGAUCGGUGCUCUUGGACUUGGUAAUGCUGUAUAAGUACAAGAACUGCUCGUAGGAAGGCUCCCCCUCCUCGGCAAUCCCGAACACAGCAAUUACCCCCAUCAAGGCCACCCAGAAGUUGGGGUUGUACUGGCCGGGAGCGUACCCGAUCUGAGCGAGGAUCUUCUGCACGGCAGGUUGCAACGGUAACCGAACCCCUUGCAGAAGAACAUCGGUGAAGAAGGUCACCUCGCCGUUCGCAGGGUCGCUGAGGGACUCGACCGGGCUCGGUAUCCUCAUCUUCAUCGAAUCAGGAAUGAGGUACUCGACCCUAAUCCUCUCCAGCUCUCGCUCGGUGAUCUUGUUGGGCUCUAAGUAGUCGACCCCGAACAGAGUCUUCUUGGGCACACCCACCAGUAUCCUAGGCUGCUCUCGGUGGAUGAUUGUCACCCUUGGCCGAGAGGGACCGGUAAUGCCCUCACCACGACCGGAGGUGGAGGCCUCAGGCUGAUGCUCUAACGGCCCGACGCGGGUACCGUCCUUGUACACCGCUGCCAAGAGUAGCGGUUGCCCCGUCAUAAGCCCCUUGCCGAUUCCAUGGGUGGGAACGGAGCUCACCUCCUCACCGAAUAACUCAACAUCGGUAUCUUCUCCACCCUCGGCGUCGAGGCUCACAGCCUCGCUGGACGUAUCCCAGCCUGAUGACAACUCCCCAUCGAACGCGUUGGGCUCACUGCCGAACGGCGAUUCGCUAUCGGACAUCUACAAAACAAAGAAAGGGAAGUUAAGGCCCAUGCCACAAACUACUCUACCGAUACCUACAUCGCUACCUAUGGCCACUAGACUACCGAAGGAAAAUCCUAAUUAACGUUCGGCUAGCCUACGCCAUGGAAAGACGUAUAAUUAAAUAAAAAGAGAGUAUUCUGAGGGUGCGGAACGGUAUCUUACCUUGAGUAGUGUGGGAUGAUUUGAUCGCCGAUCAGAGACUUCAGAAAUCGCCCUUUAUGCCGAAGAACCACUGUAAAAAUCGCCUUGAUUGCCGUUCACUCUCUUCAGAAAUCGCCCGCACAGAGCUCUCGCAUCAACUCACAAUUGCAAAGUGAGCCUUGCGUCUGGAGAAACUCCUAUUUAUAGGGAGAGAGCCACAACGGUACUCCUCGGGAGACUAAACGGCUCAUUAAUGCGCCGUCAGGCGUGCUUUUACUGACCACGCGUCACCCGACGAAUGGCGCCGCUGACUGCACGCCAGGCACGGAAGACGAAGCGUCUCUCUGCCCUCUCGCCUCUCAGCAUCGACGACCCCUCGGGUCCCAGGUCAAUCUCUCCCGAACGAUAUCUUCCGAAAGGAUCGACACGCAUCCUUUCCUCCCCCCAAACGAUAUCUACCGAACGGCAGGAUAACCUCCGAACCGACAUAGAGAACUAAAUUCCCUUCCGAAGGAUCUUCGGAAGAGAACUUGGGGGACUACUGUUUAUACCGAAAUAAACGGCCUAUGACCACCGAACACGUGGACAGGAUCGAUAUUGAUCACAGAACUCCUUCGGCAUGCUUCCUACCGAAGCCAUCUAUCUUGGCCCUUUUACCAUCGGACACGUGUCAUGCUCACAAUCCGUGUCCACAGUCCCACAUCGAAAAUAUGAGCACAGUGCACACCUCCCAAGGCCUAUAUAAGGAGACCCAUAUCCCCAAAAGGAGAGGAUCAGAACUAACGGUACGCUAUCGAUUGAUCUGUCAGUUAACAUUACUAAAACCGUACUUACUAAAGCAUCGGAGAGCCUUCGGCCGGUACUACACCGGUACCCCAAGGACUUACCGAACGUGACCUUUUGCAGGUACUUACCCUUUCGAAGUAGAACAUCUUCUGAAGACAGUCACCUACCGAAGACAUAAUAUCACUAAGUUGACGAAAUACGUGCUGAACCACUUUUUCGCAUCAACAGACAUCUCUAAUGAACAUGUCAAUAGUUAAUGAACUUGAAAGGACAUUUUUGUUCGUGCAUGCCAGCUUCACAUGCGACUUCUGGACGUAACUGGUUCGCCUGAGUACAUAAUUAAAGGGUUCCCACUACGGAUGGUCAUCUUCAGAUAGCGAGCCACAGGGUGACAACAUCCAUGGAAUUUGGCCUUUCUAUUAUUUGCUAAUCACCGUAGCCAACUUCUCCACCGCACACAGUUUUGCAUUAUUUCUCAUAUAUUCACAAGAAAACAUAAAAUAAAAUAAUAACGUUCACGCGGAUGUUGGAUCCAAAUUCCAAUCCCCAUAGAAGUAAACACGUUUUAAGGCAGUAGGGUCAACGUGGUCCUAUGCAUAAAUACCAAUUCGAUGACUCAUACUAUGUAGUCAUUUUGUUGCAAUAAUACAGGCCCUCGCAGUGUGUGAGAUGGGUUCAUUGUGCCCUCUACUGUUUCCGGUGAACCGUUUCGAGCCGGAACUUAUAACACCGGCGAAGCCAACGCCUAUUGAAACCAAGCAGCUGUCGGAUAUAGACGACCAGGACGGCCUUCGGUUUCAUUUUCCAGUCAUCAUAUCUUAUAAAAACAAUCCUUCAAUGAAAGGAAACGACGCCGUUAUGGUGAUCAGGGAAGCACUGAGUAGGGCACUAGUGUAUUACUACCCUUUGGCUGGUAGACUCAGGGAGGGGCCCAACAGAAAGCUUAUGGUGGAAUGCAAUGGAGAAGGUGUCUUGUUCAUAGAGGCUAAUGCUGACGUCACGCUUGAGCAACUUGGGGACAGAAUUCUACCCCCGUGUCCUGUCUUAGAGGAGUUCCUGUCUAAUCCCCCUGGUUCUGAUGGUAUUCUUGGUUGCCCUUUGCUGUUAGUUCAGGUAUCCAUAUAAAUUUUGCUUGUUAAUUUCAAUUGUUUUUUUUUUUUUUUGGCUUUCUAUUUCUUUUUUCAUUUUUAUAUAUAUAUAUAUAGGGGGCGGAUCCGUAGCACUACGUUUUUGACACAAUUUUUGGGCCAUUAAAUUACUCUAGUUUCAAUAAAUGAGAUUAGAUCUGACAUGAAUUUUUGACAGAAAAAAUAAAUUAAAAUGUUUUUCUCUUUCUUCUCUCUAUUUUUUCUCGGGCUGAUAAAUUUCUCUCACCAAAGUUUUUUUUUUUCUCUCUCCUCUUUCUCUUCCUCAUCACAUUCUCUGCUAACUCUUUCUUUUAUCAGGCAAAAAAAACCUUGUUAAUCUUUCUCCUUUUUUUUUCAUUCUCUUUAACUGCAAGAAGAGUUACCUCUCUAGAAAUGAAGUUAUUCAUAUCAAUGGGUUUCAAAUUGUUUGUUAAUGUUUCUGAAUCUUUGGAUUUAGGAUUUAUGGAUUUUAUUCUUCACUUUCAACUUUGAACCAAGCCAUUAAAAGUCUUAACACAUAAUAUCUUGUAAAUUGAAGUUAUGCGAAUCAAUUUUACCACAAUUUCUCAAAGUCUUAUAAAUAGUAACAGUAAGGGAGUUUGUGCGAAUUCAAAAUAUUAUUUGGGUAUCAUUCUUCUUCACCAUGAUAUUCGAGCUUGUUGACAGGUAAUCCCACUUGGCUUUCUUUUCUUUUCUUUUUUUUUUUUAAAACAAUAAAAAUUGGGACUUUUCACCUAAUAUGUAGGAUUUCAUUAGAACAUUAAGACACAAGGGUUUGAGCAGCUAAAGUAAAAAAAUUGAAGAGAUAAACGAAAAUAAAGAAAUAGCAAAGAGUAAGAAGGUUUAUUAUUAUUAUUUUUUUGGGUUUGAUGAGAGAGAGGUAGUAGAGAACGUGUUGGGAAGAGGAAGAGGAAAGAAAAAAAAAUUUUGAUUUAUUGAGAGAAAUUUAUCUUUCCAAGAAAAUAGGGAGACGAGAAAGAAAAUUACUUUUAUUUUUUUUUUAUGACAAAAAAUCAUGUCUGGUAUAAUCUCACAUUGAAAGUAAAGUAAUAUAAUGGCUCAAAAAUUAUGUCAAAACUUGUGUCAAAAAUAUAGUGUGGGCUAAAUUUACCUUACAUACAAGCCUAUAGAAAACUCGACGGUAUGAUUGAAUUUCAUUGAUAACAAAAAAAAUACACAAAAGAGAUGGAGAAGAACCUGAAGGCAUGCUAGUUGAUGAUUCACCAUUGUUUUCUCUUUAAAAAAUCUCUAAGAGUAUUUGAUCUCUUAACAUUUCGAUGUUGUUCCGACAUUAUAAAGUAUAACCUAUUGAAUAAUAUACAUAAUCUAAAUAUAUAGACCAACAAAAUCCCUAAUUGAUAAUUCAUAAUCCCAAUUAUAGAUCUCUAAUUGAUACUUAAUAAACCCUAAAUCUCCAAGAAAAAAAUUCAACAUCAACAAAUUUAGAGAAGAAAAUUAAAGAAGAUGAAGAACUGAAAAUUACCUCCUUUAAUUAAGUCUUCAAGAAUGAUGUGGAGGGAUGAUUUGACUUCUUUUUUUAUAAAUUAAAAAUAAAUAAAUAUAUUUAAAAAAGAAAAAAAGAAAAAAAGAAAAAGAAAAGAGGGGUUGUGUGGAGUUAAUUUGUAUUUUUUAUUGGUCAGACGUGGUGUAGUGUAGGUUUGUUAAUGGGAUUUUAUUUGUAUGUGGGGUUAGUUUUAAUUUUUUAUUGUUAUGAACUUAUUGAUUGGUCAGACAUGUGGGGUAAAUUUAUUAAUGGAAUUUUAAUUGGUUGGGAUGAGGAAGUCACGUGAUCUAAACAAUGAAAGACAAGCCACUAAAUUUUAUAAUUGUUUUUUCCUUGUACAUUUGCAAUGGGGUGGGGUAAGUAAUUAACCAAUUCCCCAACAAAGAGGUCCCAGGAAAAGGAUUUAAUGAGCGUGGGUAUGAAUAUUCAUUAUCUGCUCAUCUGGAGUUGAAUAUAGAUAGAUGAUAAAUACUUAAUUCGUUUCCAUUUUCAGAUCCAAACACAUGACUUGAGUGUGUCUUUCCAACCUUGAAGGCUAUCACCAAUUUUGAGUCAAAACCUUCUCCUUAACAAUUUGACACAAGAAACAUACCCCAAAUUGUCCUACACAAUUCAUGCUCCGAUCAUUUUAUCCAAUUGUAGUACUCUUUCCUCUUAAUUUUGUUUUUUUUUUAUGAUAAUUUAUUAGACAAAACAAGCAAGAAAACAUAAAAAUUAAGGCAAACAUACAUUUAUAAGGGUAUAUACAAUCAAAGAUAUCAACAAAAUACCUAAAAUAUCAAUCUCAAGAGGGCAACAAACUAAAGUGCUAAAAGCAAAACUAACGCAGACAAAAGUUACACUAAAACUAUUAGCCCACAUCACCACAAUUAAUCAUAAGUGCAAACAAAGCCCACAAACACAACAUAACCAAAACCUUAAAACAACCCAUGAACCUAUACGAACCCUACCACCACCACCUGAAGAACCGUUGUCGUGGCCAUACCCACCACCCAUCCAUAACAUAUCUAGGGAAAAUAUGAUUUUCAGCAAUCUACAUGCGCAUAAGAGUGAACAAAUAAACAAAAACAACCUUACCAAAAAAUAAGUGAGUGAUUUGCAGCAACCUCCGUCAAAGAUGAUGUAGAAUCAAAUUUAUAGAACAUGAGCAGCGCUAGGGAGUGGGAUUUGGGAGCACGAUUUGAUUGAGAACAUGGACUAAAAGGGUUUAUGGGGAACUUCAAUCUAACCAUGAUUAAUAAGAAACCACCACAAGAGGCUUUUCAUGCAAAACGCUCUAGUAGACUUAUUCACUAACCUAAAAGGAAAAUACGAGAAGAGAAGAGGGGGAGGAGGGGCAGUGAUGCUUCUUCCUCCGCCCCCCUCUAUGGAGUUUUCCUUUAGGACUUAUAGAGAGAGAGAGCAGCUAGAGUUUCUUCGGGUAUAUAAAGUUAUACAAGUGUGCUACUUUGCCCACAAUGAGCAAGUAUAUAUAUUUGACAGAAAAAGAAAAAAGAAAAGAGAGCAAGUAUACACAGUUUAUCUAUCUAGCAAACAUUUUUAUGUAGUUAUGUGUUGUAAACUAGAAAUACAAUUUUUCUUCACAUAAUGAUAUACUAGCCCCUUGGUGAGCAUGUGCCAAUUGGUUUUAUUAUUUAUUUAUUAUUUUAUUUUUAGAAUUAAGAAAAUAUAAUAUGGGUAGUUAUGUUCCAUAAAUAGGACCUAUUAUUUGAUUUUGUUUAUUAUUUUAAUUUUUUUAAUAUGAAAAAAUAUGAAUUUACCAUAUUAUCCUCAUUUAAUUAAUAAUUUCAAUUCGUAAUGUUUGAAUUAACCAAAAUACUUUCUGGUAUUUUGAAUGUUUUGAAUGUUUCAUCAUUCUCUUCAUUUAUAUAUAUAUAUAUAUGGAACGUGUAAUAAUUAAUUCAAAAGUACUUGCAAUUAUUAAUCUAGGUAACUCGCCUGACAUGUGGAGGCUUCAUCUUUGGAUUGCGCAUAAACCACGCAAUGUGUGAUGCAGUGGGGUUGGCUAAAUUCUUGAAUGCAAUUGGGGAGAUGGCCCAAGGAGCAGAUUCACUAUCAGUGCCUCCAGUGUGGGCACGAGAGCUCCUCAAUGCCAGAGAUCCACCAACAGUUACACGUUGGCAUUACGAAUAUGACCAAUUGCUUGAUUCACAAGGCUCCUUCAUUGCAGCAAUUGACCAAUCAAACAUGGCCCAACGAUCCUUCUAUUUCGGUCCACAGCAGAUCAGAGCCCUCAGGAAACAUCUUCCACCCCACCUUUCCACUUGCUCCUCAUUUGAGCUCAUAACAGCCUGCGUCUGGAGAUGCCGGACACUUUCACUGAGACUGAAUCCAAAAGACACUGUUCGCAUUUCCUGCGCGGUCAACGCUCGCGGGAAGAGCAUAAAUGAUCUUUGUCUUCCCUC
rnacentral:lncRNA from 1 species